AAAUAUUAAUAAAUUAUUUAGUUGAAAACAUUAAUUUAAUGAUUUGAAAUGUUACAUGAAUUAUUUAACAGGGACAUACCACCUACAACCAUAUUAAAAAUCACGAGAAAUAUUUGAUAAGUAAUUUGUAUAAAAACACUUUAAGAAAAACACUUUUUAUUAAAAACAUUUUAAGUAGAAAUAAGGUGAAAAUUCCUUUUAUGGAUUACAUUUACCCAAUCAUCAUCAAUUGUUGAGCAAAUAAUUUAAUGAUUUGAAAUGUUACAUGAAUUAUUUAAAAAGGACAUACCACCUACAACCACAUUAUAAAGUUUGGAAAAGAAUGUCCAUCCAUUGAACAAUGGAAGAAAGUGUGCCACCAUAGAAAACAUUAAUAAGCUCAGUCAUGAAAAUAUUAAUAAAUUAUUUAGUUGAAAAGUCCAUUCUUCCUUGUGUACGCUCAAAGGUCUUAGGUUUGAUGAGUUAAAUUUUAUUUUAUAUCUUAGAAUAAGAAGUUAAAUUGAAAAACCGAGAAUGAGAGAGAAGAGGAAGCCACAAACAUGGCGGUCGCUUCUCACAUUUAUUGUAACACACUUCACACACAUACACACGGAUGAAAGUCCUAGGCCACCACGUGUCACAAAUCACAGAGUCUGAGGGCAUUAUUUAGUAUUUAGUAUUUACUACAACACAACCCAGAAAGCAAAAAAGAGAAUUACAAACACAACCCUCUCAUUCAGCUGCUGGCCGUCACGUCCCUCCAUUCACAUUAUGACUUGUAGGCACGAGUCUCAAGGGUGGGUGGUUAGCGACUUACCAGGGGCGUUGGGGAGGGCCAGGAGGACCGGGAGGACCAUAAGGCCCCGGAGGCGGAGGGCCAAAGGUACCUGGCGGACCCGGGGGUGGCGGACCAGGGGGUGGCGGACCAGGGGGUGGCGGACCCGGGGGUGGAGGUCCCGGGGGCGGCGGCCCGUGGUGGUGUGGGUCGUGUGGUGGAUGAUGCAUCUUCUCUUCUUCUUCAAGGAAGCUGUGGUGUGGCGAAGGGGUUGGAGGGGGCUUCUCAAUUUAUAAUGUAGGGGAUGUGUGAGAAGUGGGAAAUGAGAUGAAAGGCAGCUUAAUUCAUCCUAUGUUUAUCUUUUUUAUCUACAAGUCAAACUUUGAUUUCUUUGAUUUUUUAUUAUUUUUUAGACGGUGUCACCUACUAUUCUAGAAGGCAAAGGGAAAUUGACAUCCAAAUUUUAUUUUCAUUUUAUUUUUUUGCCUCACGGCUCGGGCAUCUAUAAUUAUUUAUUUAUCAAUGUAGAAAAUCCUUGUGGGGAUAAAAGACACGUGAGUUCUGAUGGGGCGGGCCUCCAUCCCCGCAAUUCAAUCUCGCAUUCGCAUUCAUGUAUUAGGGUUUUGGACCACAAUAAUUAAUUAAAAAAAAUCAUAUUUAUAAUGACCUGUAAAAUAAUUCUCAAUUUAAUCCUUUUUUUUACAUGAAUUGUCACGUUCAUAAUUUUUAUUUUUAUUUUUGAGGUGCUUUCCAAUUUUUUAAUUUAAAAAUGACCUCGUUGAACACGUGGUCAGUAUGAAUUAAAUUAUAUAUUUUUAAAAUUCAAAUUAUAUUUAUAAUUAUUCCAAUCUUAUUAUGUAGAUAUUAUCCCAUUUGAAUCAAAAGUGGACAAUAUUUACACAAUUGUAUAUUGAGGAUUUGAUUGAUUCAUGAAGAGUAUUUGUUUACUUGACUUUAUAAUUUUUAAGAAAUGACAAAAACAUUAUGUUUGCAUGUGAUGUUCGUAAUAUUUCACAUAGGAUUGAGAAGGAAGUUAUUAAUUCUAUAUAAAUAUGAAAUUUUCUUAAUCAUGUAAAUGUGUUAUAAAGUUACAAGAAUCCUGUCAUCCUUAAAGAGGAUAAUGCUUACAAAUGUUUCAAAAUUAAUUUUGACUUUGUAGGGAGUGUUUAUCUUUUUGUGAAAAAGGAAAAUUAAAACUCUUUUUUAAAAUAAUUUUAUGAUAUUAAAAAUUAGAAAUUUGAAAAAUAAAAAAUAAUGUUUUGAGAACUUUUGAUGAAAUUAGGAUAUUUGAAUUAUUUUUCUUGUUUUAAUGAGAUUAUUUUUAAAAAUAAUUAUAUAAAUAUAAAGAAUAAUUUAAAAUAAAUUAUUGUAAAUAAAAACUAUUUUUAAAAAUAUAAAAAGAAUAUUUUAAGUGUUCAAACAAAAAUUUGUUUGGUAAACAUCAAAAUUUUGUUUGAAAAGUGUUUUUGAGUUCUAUUCUGAAAAUAGUCUUUAAAAACUAUUUUAUAAUCUUUCUAAAACAAAAGUUUCUGUUUUGACAGCUUGAAAGUUUGAAACACGGAAUUGCAGGCUUAUGCCCUACACGAGCAGGGGAACCUUCUGGAACUCGUGGACCCAAUUCUCGGUUCUAACUACUCUGAAUUUGGAUUUCUUAUGCACCAGCCCAUCUCCCACUCUCAGGCCAAAUUCCGCGUCUUCUGUAGUGAGCACGCUCCAAGGCAAAAUCGCUGUCCAAGCACCAAUAGCCAAGAGGAGCUCAAUGAACCAGGACAUGAGGUUCAAAGCCUUUGAGAGGCUGUCACAGGACAUAUCAUAUUAUGCUUUAUUUUCUUCUUUCAAUUUUUCCUCUGCUUUCUCUGCUACCAAACAAUGGCUUAUAUCAUUCUGCUGGAAAUUCUUUGUCCCUCUAUGCCAUAGCGAACUUGAUCUGAACCCAUAAUGUUUAUGGCCGAGUUGGAAUUCUGGGUAUUUAUUUUUUUCCUUUCUUUAAUUGGUUUGAAACCGGCACUGAAGCCGUAUUUUCAAAUUUUGACUGUUACAUAGGUUUUAAAGCCGCAUUUCCAAGAUGAGUUUUCUCAAUUAUGUAAGGGUUUGUUUGGAAAGUAUUUUUUAGAAUAGUUUCCUGUUUUUCAGAACGAAAAAACAAAGAAAAUGUGUUUGACAACCAUAAACUAUGUUAUGUUUUUUAUUUUUAAGAAUUAAAAAUAUAGUGUUUUAAAAAAACAUUUUUAAUUAUUUUAUAUUAUUUUCAUUUAAUUUUUUAGGGUUAUUUUAAAAAAUAAUCAUACAAAUAUGUCAAAUAUAUAGAAUAAUUAAAAAUAAAACAUUAGAUAUAAAAACAUAUUUAAAAAUAUUAAAAAUAGGUUAAAAUCAUUUUAAGUUUCACAUAGACUUAUGUUCUAUAAGAAUCAUAGAACAAUUUUUUAAAAAUAUUCAUAAAAACUAUUCUUCAAAAUUAUUUUGAAAAAUAGUUACCAAAUAGACUUUUGUCCUAGAUAUGAAAAAUCAUAUAGUUUUUUAUAAAUUGUUUUUAAUUUUUUAUUAUAUUUAUUAUUGUUAUUUUUAAAAAUAAAUUAGUUUAAAAAAUUAAGUUUCCUUAAAUACAAUAUUUACAUUUAUGAUGUAAAUUGAAAUCGAUAUUCAAAAUUUCAUAUAUUAAUUUUCCUUUUGCAAUGAUGUAAUUUCUUCUUAUUUAUUGAAUUUAUAAUUUUAUCAUCUAAUUAUAUAAAUAUAUAAAUUGAGAUCUCAUAUUACUAUGAUUCUAAGUCAUGUGAUGAAAAUAUUUUAUUUAGUUGCUUUAAUUUUAGAAAACUAUCCAUUCUUUCUAUUAAUUAUUAAAUAUUAAUUUCAAAAUUUUAUUUUUAGUAUUUAGUAAAAAACAAAAUAUUUUGACUUUUUCUAUUCAUUCAGAUAAAAAGUUAUAAAAAUAAGUAAUAAAUAAUAAGUUAAAAACAAACAAUUUAAUGUUUGAAAGCAAAUUACAUUCCAAUUAAGUUAAAAAACAAAUACCACUUCGAUAUUUGGUAAAAUUUAAUCCUUAUUAUUUAAUGACUUAAGUCAAAUUAUUCUUAAUAUGUUAACUUAAAAUUUGUUACUUACUUUUUUUUUUAAUCAUUAAAAUUGUUCGAUGAAAUUAACUUCAAAUUUAUUUUUAUUCCUCAAAUUAAUAUAAUUACUUUUGUUAAUUAUAAUUAAUAUUAAUCUUCAUUCAAUUAACUAAUUUAUUUUCAUUAAUUUUAAGCAAGACAUUUCUUUAUAAAACAUUUAUAUUUAAAGUAUUGAUAAAUAAGAUAACCAUAAAAGAUUUAUUAUAAAAAAUGAAUCAUAAAUUUGGAAUUAUAAUUUUAAAAUAUAUUCUCAUUAACAUAUGCAAAUGAAAAAAAAAAAGAUUUUGAGAUUAAGAAUAAGUUAAAUAUUUUGACUUAGUACUUAAAAGUUAUAAUAUUAAAUUAUUUUACCAAAUAUGAUUAAUCUACUUAAUGACUUAAAUUAAGUUGUCAAGUCAUUAAGUAAUUUAUCAAACACCUUGUUGACUUUAAACUUAUUGUUUAUUUUUUAUUUUAAAGUAUUAAGGUUGGUUGGUGAAAUUAACUUAAAAUUUAUCCUAUAUCGUCAAACAUAUUUACCCUUAUUAAUUUUAACUAAUAUUUAUAUUUUCAUUCAUAUUAAGAUAUAAACUUAUUCAUUAAAAAAAUCAUAUUUGAAGUAUUUUACAUAUAUAAAAUAACUACAAAAUAUUUACAUUCAAAAGAUGAGUUUCAAAUAUAGAGUUAUACUUGUAAAAUAUGGAAAAAUGAGAUAAAAAAGAUUUAAGAUUAAGAAUAAAUUACUUAUUUUAACUUACACUUUCUUCUUCUUCUUCUUUUUUUUUUUUUUGAAAUUUAAGUAGUAAUAUUAAGUUAUUUUCCAAAAUAUAUUUAAUUUACUUAAUGACUUAAAUUAAUUUAUUAAGUCAUAUUAAGUCAUUAAGUUCAUUUAUUAAACACCCUCUUAAAAUAUAUUUAUUUAUUUAUACUUAAAUCUAAAUAGAACUUAAUUUUAAAUACAACUUAAUAAUAUCAAAUAUUAAAUUAUUUAUUUUUUAUUAAUUUAUUUUUAUUAAGUAAUAAGUAUUAAUAAGGUGAGGGUCAUGCUAAAAUUGUGUUUUAAUUGUUUUGAAAAGUUAUUUUUAACGUUCAACAAAAAGUCAAAAUAUUUUGAUUUUUUCUAUUCGAUCAUUUUUAAAAAAAUAAGUAAUAAGUUAAAAAAAAAAUCUAAAGUCUAAAUGCAAAUUGCAUUAGACAUUAAGUUAAAAAAGCAAAUACCACCUUGAGCUUGGAACUUAUUAUCAAACUCAAAUAGUUAAUUUCUAAUGCUUUUUGGUUUGCAUGCCCAAUUUUAAGUUAGGCAUUUUAUAUUUUUCUUAACAAAAAAAAUUAUUUUCUAAAUUAAAUUGAAUGACAUUGGCCUUAAACAAUUUAGUUAGUUAUUGUCUAUGAAUCUAAUUGGACUGAACAACAUGAUUUUCAUUUGAGAUUUGGUCAGUAUGAUUCUCAGUGCAUAUAAACCAAUUACAUUAAUUUGAUUAGAUUUUAGUUUUCAAUGUGAAAUAGUUAUCAUUUGUAGUGAAUUUGAGGAAAUAGUAAUUAUUUGUAGUCAGGGAUAUUAGUUAAUGUUCAAAAUGAGAGACUAAUUUGUGGUCUUAGAAAAUGAGAAUAAUUUUUGUCAAGUUUUUAUUUAUUUAUUUAUUUGGAUAACCCAAAUGCCAAAAAUAUAUGUUCAUUUCAAUAUUUAAUAACAAUAAAAAUAAAAUUAGAAAAUAAACGCAUUUUUAUUAUGGUUACAUUUUACAUUUUACUAAACUUUUGCCCAUUUUAUUACUAGCCAAAAUAAAAUAAAAUGUAUUGAAAAUUAUUAUUAUUAUUAUUUGUGGUUUUCUCAAUAAUAAAAUAGAACCUAAUAACUUUGUUAUUAAUAGAAUUAAAAUUUAAAAUACUAAAAAAUUAAAGAGGGAAUGAAGAAUGCGAGAAAUGAUAUGAACAAUGUAAGGAUUAUCAUAUUUUUCAUACAAUUUCUCACAUUCUUUGUAAUUUUAUAAUUUUUUUUUCAGUUAAAAAUAUAAUAAUAUUGUUUAUCCAUAUUAAUUAAGCUUGGAAAUGAUGAAAAUUAUCAUUAAUAAAACAUUAAAUAAUUGUAACUAAAUAAUUGUAGAUGGUAGAAUAAGAAGAAUGUGAGGAAUGAUACAUGAGGAAUCCUUACAUUUUAAUUGGAGAGGGUACGAUCACAUACGAAGAAUGUUAUAAAAAAGUAUGAACAAUAUGAAAAUUCUUCACAUUUUUUUUGUCAUUCCCACAUUCUUGGUACCGUCCAAAAUUUUCUAUUUUUUUAUUUUAAGAAUUUUUUUUCCACUUCCCAAAAAUACUUUCUAUAUUUAAUCCAGUCUUCUCCAUAAAAAAAAUUACAAUUAAUAAUACAAUUUUUAAUUAAUAAUUGAUUGAUCAUAAUUCUAAUUUAAUAAUAAAUACUCAUUUUAAGUUAAUUAUAAAUGAUUUUUUCACGAGGUCUUAGUGUUUAAAAUUUAUAUCAUAAAAGGAUACAAUACUUCUUUGAAGACAUGGAUGCAAAACAAGAAGAGGAUAAGAAGGUAAGCAAUCGGAUUGCGGAAACAAGAGAAGUCGCCUACAAUGCUGAGGAUGCUAUUGAAAAUUAUAAUCUCCGUGAUUUUGCUAGUAAAUGGACCCUGAAAAGAAAAUUGACUUGGUUCUGAUUCCUCUAUUUUUUUAAGAAUACCGAGUCGGGUUCUUCUCCUACCCGUAUUGAAUAGAACAUGCUGAGGCAAAUCUUCUUCACUGCUUGCUUUAGAUCGGGAAAAUCGUAUCGAAUGUUGGAUCUGAGAUUGAGAGUAUUCAAAAAAAAAUAUCUCUGACCUUACAAGAAGUUUAGAAACCUAUGGCAUUAAAGCUGUGAAAGUCUGUGAAAGCUUGACUCGGGCCGUGAAUGUCAACAGACGUAAUCUUAUUCUCAUGUUAACAAAGAGGAUGUUGUUGGGUUGGAUGGUGAAUGAUGAAAGUUGUCUGGUUAUUUCUAGUUGCGGUAUGGGUGGUUUGAGGACACGAGUGUUACGAAUUACUUCCAAGGUUUUUCUUGGGCAUAUAUAUAUCCUGACGAUGCCGCGAAAUCAUGUUUGAAAAGUGGCAACAUGUUUCUUGAUAUUAAACCUAAUUUUGCAGUUCAAACAUAUCCAAAUUACAUCCUAAAUUGAUUUGAGUAUCUUUGAUAAUAAUUUUAAACACUAAGAAGGUUAUAGGGGUUUUAAUAUUUGAAAUAUAAAAAUUUUUAAAUGUUAGAAAAGUUAGAAAUAUUUUUUUAAAAUCAUUGUUAAAUGUCCUAUUUAAAAAAAACAUUUAUAAUCCAAAAAGUGUUUUAAAGAAAAACAAGGUAUUUAGUAAAAAUAUUUAAGAAAUAUUUAAAAAAAUUUUAAAAAUCAAUUAUAGUGUUGAAAAAACAUUUAUAAUAUUUUUUAGAUAAAGAUAUGUAAUUAUCCUUAAAACAUUAAGGUUAUGUUUGGUUCCCGGAAAAUACUAAGGAAAGAAAAAAAAUGCAAAGGAAAAUAAUUUUUUUAUGUUUGGUUGUCCUAUGAAAAAUAUCAAAGAAAAUCAAAUAUGAUUAAAACUAAUUAAAAACUUAUGUAUUUUUAAAUUAUUUAAUCUUUAUAUUGAUGAGUUAAAAUAAAUAAAAUGAGUUUAAAGUAACAAAAAAAAUAAUUUAUCAACUUUUAAUCUAUUUUUUUAUUUUCCUUCACUUUUUCUUUUCCUCUGCUUUUCCUUUGUAUUUUCUUUCCCUUGCAUUUUCCUUCAAAGUUUUUGGGAACCAAACAUAGCCUAAAGAGAAAAUAUUUCUGCUAAAAACACUUCAAAUGUACUCGAAUGAUCAUCAAUUGUUUAGCAAAUAAUUUCAUGAUUUUGAAAUGUUACAUGAAUUAUUUGACAAGGACAUAGCACCUACAACUGCAUUAAAAAGCUUGAAAAAUAAGGUCCCUCCAUUUAACAAUGGAAGAAAAUGUGAAAUCAUAUAUCAAAUUAAUAAGCUCAUGUCAUAAAACACAGGUAGUCAUGAAAAUUUUAAUAAAUUAUUUAGUUGAAAAGUCAAAUCUUCUUUGUGUACACUCAAAGGUCUUGCGUUCCAUGAUUCAAAUUUUAUUUAUUUUUAUCUUAAAAUAAGAAGUUGAAGUUAAAAUAAUUUAGGUCAUUGAUUAAUCUUCAAACAAUUAAUAAUAUUUGUCAUUUAAGUUUUUAGUAAAUGAUGUUUUUAAUUAAUAUUGUUAUAAUGGAUUUAUAUAAUCUUCAUAAUUGAAUUUAUUUAUUAAUUAAAUAAGAUUUCUUUGGAUCUCUCUUGUAAUACCAAAUAUGGAAAUAACUAAUAUUGAGAGUUUUGGAUCAGUGAUUGAUGUGAUACUUAUGUGAUUCGAAGCUAUAUUAAACAUAAAUUUUAAAAAACGACUUAAAAAUUAUAUUUUUAUAUUCCAAUGGCUCUCAAGAGACACGUGACAUGUUUUUUGCACAUAAUUAUUUCAAUUUAUCAUAUCUUUUUUUUUUAACUUGAAAUUAUGAUCCGUUUGAAACAUUAGAUUCAUGACUUCUUGAGUAUCAAAAUCAUAUGUAAUUUGGUGUGAUAAGAGGGUUUAUGGUUGGACAUUUGAAUCCAAACUUCCAAUAUUGAUCUCUUAUAGGAUAUUUUGCUUAUAAUUUUUCUUUAAAAACGACACAAAGAAAAACUGCAAAUGAGAGAGGAGAAAGCCAUAAACAUGGCUUGUCACAUUUAUUGCAACACAUUGCACACACGUACACACGGAUAAGAGUCCUGGGCCACCACGUGUCACCAAAUCAGAGACUCUGAGGGCAUUAUUUACUACAACAUAAACAAGAAAGCAAAAAACAUAGAAUUACAAACACACCCCUCUCUUCCAGCUGCUGGCCGUCACCUCCAUUCACAUGAUGACUUGUAGGCACGAGUCCCAAGGGUAGGUAGUUAGCGACUUAGCAGUGGCGGUGGUGGGGAGGGCCGUGCGGACCGGGAUGACAAUGAGGUCCCGGAGGAGGAGGGCAGUGGUGAGGAGGGCCGUGGUGAGGAGGGCCGUGGUGAGGAGGGCCAUGGUGAGGAGGGCCGUGGUGAGGAGGGCCGUGGUGAGGAGGGGGGCACAGCUGAGGGGGCGGCGGACCGUGGUGGUGGGGAGGUGGUGGACCAUGGUGCGGAGGGCAAUGGGGCGGGGGCGGAUGUCCGUGGUGGUGGUGGUGGUCGUGGUGCGGGUCGUGUGGUGGAUGAUGCAUCUUCUCUUCUUCUUCGAGGAAGUUGUGUUGUGGCGAAGGGUUGAAGGGAGCUUCUCAAUUUAUAGAAGCAAAGCUAACUUUCAUACUAUGUCUAGUCUUUUUUUAACUGCGAGUCAAACCUUCAUUUUUUUAUUUUUUAGACGGUGUCACCUACUAUAAUUAUUUAUUUAUUAAUGUAGAAAAUCCGCGUGAGGAUAAAAGCCAUGUGAGUUCUGAUGGGGCAUUGUCAGGGCCCCUGCAAGUCUCCGUCACCUCCGCAAUUCAAUCUCGCAUUCACAUUGAUGUAUUAGGGUUUUGGCCCACAAUAAUUAAUAAAAAAAAUCAUAUUAAUACUGACAUGUAAAAUGAUUCUCAAUUUAAUCCUUCUUUAUACAUGAAUUGUCGCCACCAUAAACCUUUUUUUUCCGAAGCUUCUUUUCUAUUGAUGUAUUAGGGUUUUGGCCCACAAUAAUUAAUAAAAAAAAUCAUAUUAAUACUGACCUGUAAAAUGAUUCUCAAUUUAAUCCUUCUUUAUACAUGAAUUGUCGCCACCAUAAACCUUUUUUUUCGAAGCUUCUUUUCUAUUGAUGUAUUAGGGUUUUGGCCCACAAUAAUUAAUAAAAAAAAUCAUAUUAAUACUGACCUGUAAAAUGAUUCUCAAUUUAAUCCUCCUUUAUACAUGAAUUGUCGCCGCCAUAAACUUUUUUUUUUUUAAGCUUCUUUUCUAUUUUUCUAAUUAAUAAUUACCUAACCAUGUGGCCAAUCUAGAUUAAAUUAUACAUUUUUUAAAAUCAAAUAAUAUUUGUAACAUUUGGCGUACAAUCCUAUAAAUAUUAUCUCAUUUAGAUUUAAAAUUGACAAUAUUUAUACAGUUGGAUGCAAGUUGUUAUUAAGAGUUUAUUUAGCUCCAUGAGGGAUAUUUGUCUAUUUGACAUAUAAUCUCAUUUAAAAGAUGUUUGUAAUAUACUAUAUUGGAUGUGAAAGAAAAUUAUUUACACAAUAUAAAUAUGAACUCCUUUAAAUCACUUAGACAUAUUUUGAAGUCAUAAGAACCCCUUUAAGCUCAAGAUGAACAUUAUUUAUACGAUUAAGUGCGAAUUAUUACAAAUUAUAUUAAAGUCAGUCCAAUAAUCCUCAAUUUCAAUGUAGGGGGUUUGUUUGGAACUCUUUUUAAAAAUAAAUUUAUGAUAUUAAAAAGUAGAAAAUUGAAAAAUAAAAAAUAAUGUUUGGAGAACUUUGGAUGAAAUUAGGAUGUUUGAAUUCUUUUUCUUGUUUUAAUUUAUUUUUAAAAAUAAUUAUAUAAAUAAAGAAUAAUUUAAAACAAAGUACAGUAAAUAAAAACUAUUUUCAAAAAAUAAGAAAACCAUGCUGAGAAUAUCGUAAGUUUUGAAAUAAAUUUGUCUUUAAAAACUAUUUUAUAAUCUUUGUAAAACAAAAGUUUUUUUUGACUACUUGAAACGUAGAUUGCAAGCUUAUGUCCUACGCGAGGAGGGAAACCUUCUAGAACUCGUGGACCCAAUUCUCGGUUCUAACUACUCAGAAGAAGAGGCAGCAAGGCUGCUGAAUUUUGCUCUCUUAUGCACCGGUCCAUCUCCCACUCUCAGGCCAAUAUCCGUGUCUUCUGUGUUGUCCAAGGCAAAAUCGCUGUCCAAGCACCAAUAGUCAAGAAGUGCUCAAUGAACCAGGACAUGAGGUUCAAAGCCUUUGAGAGGCUGUCACAGGACAGCCUAUCUCAUGUCUCGGCAUUCUCCCAAGAAAGCCAGGUGCAAGGCAGCAUAUCAAUGAACGGGCCAUGGAGCUGCAUAGAAAACUUGGAUUCUCUAUGGCAUAAAUUUCCUGGGAAUUCAUCCUUAAACUCACUUGCAUUUAUAAAAUAAUAAUUUAAUGAUAAAAAAACGGAGUUCAACUUUUCAAAGCUUUUCCUCUUACAUCCCCUCCCCCUUCUCCUCUUAAAUGCUCGAAUUUAUUCAAUUAAGAGCUCUUUGAUAGUAAUUAUGAAAAAUAUUUUUAAUAUUUUCAAUACUUAAAUUUUUUUAUCAUUUAAGCGUUAAAAGUUCAACUUUUCAAAGCUUUUCCUCUUACACCCACACCCCCACAUUCCCCUCUUAAACGCUCCAACUCAUUCAAUUAAGAGUCCAUUUGAUAGUGAUUAUGGAAAACAUUUUUAAUAUUUUCAAUGCUUAAAAUUUUUUAUUAUUUAAGUAUUAAAAAUACUAAAAACAUUUUUUAAAAUAACUUCCAAACACCCUCUUAGUAUAAAGCAAACUAGUCAAUCAAGAGUUGCUAUUGACAAAAAAUUUUAAAAAUAAGUAAUGAGCAAUAAGUUGAAAACAAACAAUCUAAUGUUUGAAAACAAAUAAUAUUCAAAUUAAGUUAAAAAAAAAAAAAGCAAAUACCAUUGUGAUGUUUGAUAAAAUUUAAUACUUAUUAUUUAAUGGUUUAAGUCAAAUCAUUCUUAAGAUAUUAACUUAAAAUUUAUUAUUUACUUUUUAUUUUAAUCAUUAAGAUUGUUUGACAGAAUUAACUUAAAAUUUAUUUUUAAUCGUCAAAUUAAUAUAUUUACCUUUGUUAAUUUUAAUUAAAAUUAAUCUUCAUUCAUUUUAACUUAUUUAUUUUCAUUAAUUUUAAGCAAUAAAUUUCUUUAUAAAACAUCUAUAUUUAAGGUAUCAUAGAUACAUAAAAUAACCAUAACAUAUUUAUUAUAAGAAAUAAAUCAUGGAUGUGGAAUCAUAAUUUUAAAAUAUAUUCUUAUUGGCAUGAGCAAAAAAAAAAAAAAAAAAAUAAAUUAACUAUUUUAACUUAAUCCUUAAAGUUAAACAUGAUUAACUUUAAGUUGUAAUAUUAAAUUGUUUUAUCAAACAUGAUUAAUUUGUUUAAUGACUUAAAUUAAGUUGUUAAGUUGAUUUACCAAACAUCCUCUAGUUAUUGACUUUAAACUUAUUGCUUAAUUUUUAUUUUAAAAUAUUAAGGUUGUAUGAUGAAAUUCAUUUAAAGUUUAUUCUAUAUCAUCAAAUUAGCAUAUUUACCCUUGUUAAUUUUAACUAAUAUUUAUAUUUUCAUUAAUGUUAAGAAAUCAAUUUAUUCAUUAAAAAUUAAUAUUUAAAGUAUUGUACAUAUAUAAAAUAACUACAAAAAUAUUUACCCUCCAAAGAUGAGUUGCAAAUAUAGAGUUAUAGUUAUAAAAUAUAUUUUACUAAAUAUGGGGAAUAUGAGAUAAAAGAGAUUUAAGAUUAAUAAUAAAUUGAUUAUUUUAAUUUAAUACUUAAUUUUAAAAAAUUUAAGUAGUAAUAUUAAGUUAUUUUACCAAAUAUGUUUAAUUUACUUAAUGACUUAAAUUGAUUAUUUAAGUCAUAUUAAAUCAUUAAAUUAAUUUUUUAAAUACCCCUUAAAGAGGUAUUUAUUUAUUUUUACUUAAAUAUAAAUAUAACUUAAUUUUAGAUACAACUUAAUAGUAUUAAAUAUUAAAUUAUUUAUUUUUUAUUAUUUUAUUUCUAUUAAGUAUUAAAUAUUAAUAAGGCGAGGGUCAUAUUAAAAUCAUGUUUUAAUUGUUUCAAAAAGUUAUUUUUAAUAUUAAGGAAAAAGUCAAAAUAUUUUGGAUUUUUCUAUUUAGUCAAUUUUUUUUUAAAAAAUAAGUAAUAAGUAAAAAAAAAAAUUAAAAACAAAUCAUUUAAAGUCUAGAUGCAAAUUGCAUUCAACAUUAAGUUAAAAAAAAAAAACGAAUACCACCUCGAACUCUUAUUAUCAAACUCAAAUAGUUAAUUUUUAAUGCUUUUUGGUUUGCAUGCCCAAUUUUAAGUUAGGCAUUUUAUAUUUUUCUUAACAAAAAAAAAAUGAUUUUCUAAAUUAAAUUGAAUGGCAUUGACCUAAACCAAUUUAGUUAGUUAUUGUCUAUGAAUCUAAUUGGACUAAACAACUUGAAUUUCAUUUGAGAUUUGGUCAGUAUGAUUCUCAGUGCAUCUAAACCAAUUACAUUAAUUUGAUUAGAUUUAGUUUUCAAUGUGAAAUAGUUAUCAUUUGUAUUCAAUUUGAAUUUAUUAGUUAAUGUUCAAAAUGAGAGAUUAAUUUGUGGUCUUAGAAAAUGAGAGUAGUUUUUGUCAAGUUUUAUUUUUAUAUUUGGAUAACCCAAAUGCCAAAAAUAUAUGUUCAUUUCAAUGUUUAAUAACAAUAAAAAUAAAAUUAGAAAAUAAACAUAUUUUUUAUUAUGGUUACAUUUUACAUGAACUUCUUUAUUUAUUUAUUUAUUUUAUAGCCAAAAGUUACAUUUAACUCAUAAAAACAUGAUACAUUUUAAUAUUUACAUUGAAAUUAAAAGUGGAGGAAAAAAUCUUAAAGUAUUUUUUAUAUUUUUUAUUUUAAUUAUUAUUAUUAUUUAAGAUGUCAAUAGUCUUAAUUUUAUUGUUAAAAAAUUAUUUUUACAAAAGUUUCUCAAACAUAUUUGUUAAGCAAGAAAGAAAACUUUUCUUGUUUAUAAAAUAAAAUAGAAAAUUGUUAGAAAAGAGUAAAGACAAUUUCCUUUAUGUUUGGUUAGAACGGAUGAGGCAAAAAGGAGCAAAUAAGAAGGGUAAAACCGUCAGAACAAAUUGGUUAUUUCUAUUUGCGGUAUGGGUGGUUUGGGGAAGACCACUUUGCCCAGAAGGUUUAGCAUGACACCAGUGCAACGAAUUACUUCCAAGGUUUUUCUUGGGCAUAUAUAUAUAUAUAUAUAUAUAUCCCGACAAUGUCAAGCAAAAGAUGUCCAAGUAAUUUUAUUUGAUCUCCUCCGUCCAAACAAAAGUAAAGAGGAAGAGAUGUUACAAAUGUGAUAGACUGAACUUGUUAGGAGAGUGUACGAAGUCCAAAUAAGAUAAAGAUAUUUAAUCAUUCUCAAUGAUGUUUGGACUAAAAAUGCUUGGAAAAGCCUAAGACUUGCAUUCUUAUUGAAACAAGGAGGUUCCAAAAUACUGCUCACUACACGGAAUAAAAAUGUAGCCAUGCAUGCAGAUAUAAAAGGCUUUAUUUAAGAAACUGUGUAGCCAUGUAUGCAAAUACAAAAGACUUCAUUUAUGAACCUCAGUGCUUGACUCUUGAAAUGAGUUUGGAGCUGCUCAAGAAAGCAAUAUUUCUAAGAGGCAGUCCAGGUAUGUAUCUUGAGUCACUCCGCUCUCUAUAUAAAUUGAGCUAUAUUCCAUUAUUAAUUUUUUUGUGACAUAAGGCUUCCAUUGAAUUUCAAUUGUUUAGACAAUUAAUAUCAGCUAGUUUGUUCUUUCUUUGAUUUUCAGAUUUUACACGGGAAAGUCUAAGGAAGCAAAUUGUGACGGACUUAGGUUUCUCCUAAACUCACAUGCAAUAUUUAAACAAUUCAAUACAUUUGAUGUUGUUAAGUCGGUCUUCUCGUUGUACUUAACUUUUUAGGCUAAGUUAGGCACACGACUUGAAAUUUAAGAAAACCAAAGGCAACACUUAAACUAAAGGAAACUUGUAUUACACAAAUGAAUGCUUACAAUGACUAGAUGCUCUCACUUGUUUGGUGUCUUGAUCAAAUGAGACUCACCUAUUUAUUGACACUUUAAGAACUUAAAAUCUUGAAGGGUUCCUUACAAAUCAAGAAUUCUUUAGAACAUCCUACACAAGUCCUAUGCAUAAGUAUUUACAAAAAAUCUUUGAAACUCUCCAGCUCCAUACUCUUCUCUUGUCUUCUAGCUUAGUGUAGAGAUGCGUGAAUAUAUAUAUAUAUAUAUAUAUAUAUAUAUAUAUAUAUAUAUAUAUAUAUAUAUAUAUAUAUAUAUAGAAAGAUUCCUUAUUUUUCAAUCCGAGCCACCUAAGCUUCAACUAGAUGCUUUAUGUAAAAUUAUUUGUAUAUGCACUACAUCAAUGUAAAAGGUUGGAUCUCAUAUAAAUUUUCCUGUCUUAUAGUUUUAAUUUGAUAAAAUUAAAAUGGUAAUAAAACUUCAAUUAAACUAAAUCUGUGGACAAAUACUUUACAAUAAAAUUAUUUAAUAAUAACUAUUAAGUACACAAGUGUAUUAAAAUUAAAAGGAAAACUAGUUAUGAUACGAAGAAGAGAUUAAAAAACAGUUAAUGAUUUAUUGUCGAUGGUCCACCAUUGACAAUCAGCAACAAGUGGAAACGGCCCUGUACUUUUCAGGGUACUAUGAUACUAAUAUGAAACUUGAAAUGAAAAAUAAUAAUGAUGAUGAUAAAAAAAUUAUAAUUUUUGUUGAGAUAUAAGGAAUGUUGAGAUAUUAUGAUAUUAGUUGUUCUUUCCUUAUAUCAUUCUUUCAUUGUAUUAUUCUUUCCCAUUCUUAGACUGGUGAUUAUCCUCUAUAUAUACUCUGUAGAUGAACGAAUGAAAUAAUCAAUGAAAAACUACCAUUCAUCAAUUUGAAGAUGGUAUCAGAGCCAUGAAGCUGAAAUCCUGGAUAUUUUGUCAGUAAGGCCAACCAUCGCCCCUCCUUCGCGAUAAAAAAAAUAAAAAAAAAAUGAAUGAAAAAAAUACUAUUGUUUUUCAAUCUGAAGGUACUUUUAAUCCAUGAAUUAUUUUAACUGAAUCAAACUAUGAUAUUUAGUCACAACUCGUGGAGAUGCAUAUUGUCGAAUGGGAAAAACUUUCCUACAUUCGAGGUAAGACAAAUCCACCAAAAGAGUCAGAAGAUGGAUAUGAAAAAUGGUAUGCUGAAAAUCAAAAGGUGAAAAGAUGGUUGUUAAUGUCCAUGAGUCCAGAAAUUAUGAAACGUUACUUAAGCUUACUGUAGACCCCUAUUUGGGUGCUAUUUCAUGCAGCUCAUUCUGGCCACAUGUCACUCCCGGAUUAGUCAAUAUGGGAUCACUAUAGUGGAAUUGAUGGACUAAUCAGGGGAAGACACCUGUAAAGGGAAAGAAUCUUCUAGAAGGGAAAAAGGUUUUCUGUUAUGGGAAGGUGGCAGAGCAGCUGCAGGGGGAAGAGCAUUUUUGGCUGCAGGGUGAUGGUUACUGGCAGAGAGCUGCAGGAGGGCAGGUGCUUUUGGGGACGUGUUGGAGGAGGCCGUUAGGGAUUUUUUUUGGAGAGUUUAGAGAGACAUUCUUGAGGGGCAAGCUGGAUAUGCAGAGAGGGGAGAGAAAAACGAAAGGAAAAAUCAGAAGAGAGAGGUACUUGGGCUGCUGAAAGGAUUGCCAAGGGAGUCCAGAGGGAGUUUCCAUUAGAGAGGGAGUUGAGAGCUGUUAUUGAGAUAACAGAGGAGGGUUUUUGACCAAGGGUAGAGGAAGCUUAAGUUGCAAAGGAGUGAUAGCAGAGAGCUUUGGGAAAAGAAGUGGUUCCUGGAGCUGCAGAGGAGGUUUUUCUGGAGAGUAUUCCUGGAGCUUAGGCUACUACGGAGGGAAGGCUUAGAGGAGAUAUUCUCUGAUAGCAAGAAGAGGAAACUUUCAGCGCAUUCGCGAUUGCCGCCCAGGUACGCAUCUAUUCAUAUUUUGCUCAUUCUUUAUACAUGCUUUGCUUCUCACAUGUGCAUGAUCACUCUGAGUAUUCAUUGAUUCCCGCAUCAAUUGCUAUGAUUGCUUCAUUUUAUUAUUAAAGACCCGACUUUAUGGACUUAGAGGGGUGCUACGGUCGUUACCGUAUCUUCCCGAUAAGUAACCUGACCCCCGAACCCGAUCCGGUUUUUCGUAGAUUACCUUUUCCAAAAUAAGGAGUCGCACUUAGGGUUUUCUUUCUUAUUUUGUUUACCCUUUUAAAAAAUAAAAAAAUAAGUGGCGACUCCAAGUCAUUUUUCUUAAUCAAUAAAAAUCAUUUUUCAAAUUAAAAUCGAGCUCGCCAUCAAGUGGGAAAAGCAUUGAGCCGAAAUACGGGGUCCACGAAAUCGGCCAUCUUCUUGUCAUGUCAGUUCAGUUUCUAGGACCGCACCUAUACAAUCGGUCAUCAUCUUAUUAGUUUGAGUCGGGGCCGCACCUAUACGAUCGGUCAUCUUCCUGUCAUGUCAGUUCAGUUUCUGGGACCGCACCUAUACGAUCGGUCAUCAUCUUAUCAGUUUGAGUCAGGGCCGCACCUAUACGAUCGGUCAUCAUCUUAUCAGUUUGAGUCGGGGCCGCACCUAUACGAUCGGCCAUCUUCCUGUCAUGUCAGUUCAGUUUCUAAGACCGCACCUAUACGAUCGGUCAUCAUCUUAUCAGUUUGAGUCGGGGCCGCACCUAUACGAUCGGUCAUCAUCUUAUCAGUUUGAGUCGGGACCACACCCAUAUAGAUCGGUCAUUCAUUCUUCCUAUCAGGUCAGUUCGGCGUCCAGGUCUUUGCUUCAGUAUGACAUUCAGGGUCACAUUUCCAUUUUGGGCGUUCAGAUUCAUUUUCUUCCCCUUGUUACCUUAUGCUUAUCGUUUCAUCAUUGCUCUUCUAGACUUCCCCUUCCAUUGCACAUGACAUAGUUCUUUGAGUUCGUGACACAUACUUUUGUCAUGUUAUUAGGCACCCUACACCCAGCAUUCUCGUAUAGCUCACCUAGGGCAGUCUCCUUUGAGCGUAGUCUUUUCUAUACUCUAGGGUGGUUCAACCGUUACUCAUCUUUGACAUCGAUCCUUGAGUCACUUUUGGAGACGUCUUAGAAGGAGCUUGGAUCCUUAGUGUGGCUUCAGAGGCAUUUUGAGACAUCUUUUUCUUUUAAGAUUAGAGCCUUUGUGUUCAUCUGUUAGUCUGAGUGAGUUUAUAUCUCACUAGUGUCCCUAUGGGGGUCUCCUUGGUUUUUCGGUAGAGUUCACUUCAUUGCACUCACUAUUCACACUUACUUUUCACUCCAGUGUUCAUGUUCUUCACACUCGUGAACUCUACCGAAGAGGGGCAUAUUUGUAGACCCCCUUUUAGGUCAUUCCUACCUUGCAGCUCAAUUUAACCACGUGGAAGAGCCUUGGUCAGCCACGUGUCAACACCUGAGAAGCCAUGAGAGAAUCAUAAUAGUGGUUUGGGGAGCCAAUCAGGAGGUGACGCGUACAUGGGAAUAUACUGGCCGUUAGAAGAGCAGAUGCUGGCAGCUGGUGGCAGCUAGAGGUGAGGUGCUUUUGGAGAGGUUUGCCAGCUGCAGGAAGGGUGUCGUCUGGCAGAGUGGAAGGAGGUACCUGGGCUGCUGGCAGGAGCUCUCUGAGCAGGCCGUUGGAGAUAUUUUGAAAAAGGAGGCUUUUCUGAGGGUCUCCAGGAUGGUCUGGGGAGAGGCGGGGGAGAGAUUUUUUUCAAGGAUAUUUUAGUUUCAGAGUUUUCCGGAGAGAACAGAGAGCUAGAGGGAGAGAAGAGAAAAGAAAAAGAAAGAAAUCAGAGGAGAGGGAGAUACCUGAAAAAGGAAGAGAAAAUGAGAGGAGAGCUUUAGAAAGAGGAGGAUAAGAGUUCUUGAGAGUUGAAAAAAAGGCUUAGAGGGGAUUAGCUAGAGAAGAGGGGAGAGCUUUCACAGGAGGUCAAGACAAAGGUGAGAGCAGAGUGUGAUAUUUUUUUGAGGAGGCUACCGGAGAUAUUUGGGGGAUUCUUUGCUUUCCGGUGAGGCAGGGAGAUAUUUGAGAGAACAUCUUCUUAGCUAGAAGAAAAGAACGGAGACAGAGGAGGGAGGAAGCAUCCUCAGGUACCUUCAUCGUGGAUUCCCUGUUAGUUUCUAUCGGUAUGUUUUUCUAUUCUGUUUCCGCUGAUUCUUAGAUGAUGUUUAUUGAUUAGGAGUGAGCAUGUUGAUAUUUUGCUCAUGGUCUUUUUGUAGUUUGAUUUGCUCUUGUUUUGUUCUUUUCAUGAGAUAUUUCCGUAACAGUGUUCUAUCUUUUAUUUGAUACUCGUUUGAUUUCACCCACCCUCACGAGCUCAUUGAUUGAUAUAUGAAAUGAGGCUUGAGUGAGUUCAUGUUGUUCCUAUUGCUUGCACUCUGUUUUUGCUGUCCGCCCUGUUUCUGGUACCCAUACCUGGAGUGCAUUAUUUUUCUCAUUUCUACCUUUGGAAGUAAGGAAUUACAGAGGGUCAUUCUCAGUAGGAGAGUGCUUGGUGAACACUUAGGCACAAAGAUGACAUGUUCAUCAGGGUAGGAAGGCCCUGAGUGUGCAGUUGCUGGGUUGAUUCAUUGCCUGAUAUUAUUGCCAUGCGACACAAGAAAGGUUGUCUCAUCAUUUGAAAAGAAUCUUGCCUGGCAAAAGGCUCUUUGACUAUGGGACUGACGAGUCUUAACCGGAGUUAUGCUCAUCCGUGCAUGGUUAUGAAAUACCAGAUGUGACUGUGUAACAUUGAGGUGUCUCACCUGUGGUAUUGAAGGAGCUAGAAACAGAAAUAUUAGAAGCCUAUGAGCAGGCUCCGGAGUCAGAUAAAUGCUGCGCGGGGUAUACCGUCUAAACAAUCAUCAUGGAUCGGGCCUUGAAAAUUCUUGGGUCAUGGCAAGCCUAGCACCAGAAGGUUUAUGAUUUGACGCUCGUAAUUGUGAUGCUAAAACGGAUGAAUGCGUUUAAUGGAUGGACGGAAUUUCUUCAUAUCUCAUGAUGAGAUCUUAAGAUAAUUUUGAUGCUAUGGGUUUGCAAGAAAGCCGUCUCCGAGCAGCCUGUUUGUGAAUUGGUAGAAUGUCAAACCUCGAUUGCAUGUAGCUUGUAAUCCCGGAGCAGAAUAAUUCACAAUGAGAGGGAAAAUGGAGGAAUUUCUGAUAGACCUAAUGUUGCUGUGGGUGUCUUCCAUAAGUAUUUUUGAAGUCGCAGGACUCUUAUUUCUUGAAUAUCCAGGUCUGGUCGCCUAUUCUUACAGACAUCUAAGGAGCUUGAGAGGAUGGAAAUAGGAUUGCCGGAACGUGGCAGGAUGGUGAUAGGAAACAUUCACCACUGUCAUUACUGUUGAGGGCCACGUGUUGACCAUUAUAUCUUUGCUUGAACUAUUACUGUUUCUGCUAAUUGAGGUGUCAUGCAGCACUGAAUCUCCACACCCAGGUUGAGGUUUAGAUCUUGGGGGACUGCCGAAACUUGCCGGAAAAAAUAUGACAAGGUAACCUCAUACAAACCCUUCUCUCAUAUUAUCCAUCUUCAUUCUUCCCACAUCACCUGCCCAUGUCCUCUCAUCACCUUUCCAAUUUCACACCUCCCCGCACCCGUGACCUUACUCGCAGCUAAACCCAUAAAUCCUUUCUCUCACUACUUCCCUUCCUCCAUCUCUGCAUGCAUGGCUGCUCUACCUCUUUGUGGCGAGACCUAGAAUAUAAAAGCAUCCGAUUGGAAAGUUUGCAAGCUGGGCUUAAAUGGUUUUCCAGAGGAUAAAUCCUUAAAUGGACCCUGUUCCCGUCCGUCGCUCUCGAUCUUCGUGGAAAAUGAAAGCGGGGUCACAUUUGAAACUUCCAAAGUGUCUCAUCUCAGUGCACCAGAAAUGGGUUUUCUAAAGGACAUGUGGAAUCCAUGGUGAUCUCUUGAUAUUGGAUCUUCACGGGAAUAAUAGGAUUGGUCUGUCACGGACCUUUCCUACUGUUGCAGUUCAACAUAAUUGCACCCCUGGGACCCACUUGUGCAUGAACUGCAUGGCCAUCUUCAGGCCACCUGUCUUUCUGCCAUUGCUCUCUCUUAUUUCCUUAUUAUUUAAUUUUGAAAAUAAUUCUUCCAGACCCCAUUUUGUAAAUAACCUUUUUCAAAUUGUGGUUUUUCAAAUAAUUCCAACUCUCCUUAGUUUUUCGUCCUUAGUUUUUUUUUAGGUCCCCAAAAUCACUUUUUUAAUCAAAUUUGCUUCCAAUUCCUAUUCGGCAAGCAAUUUUCAAAUUUAUUUUGGUAUUUUAAAACGUUUUAAAAUAAAUAUGAAUUUAAAUUCCGUAAUCCGGACUAAUGGAAUUUAUGGAAUUAAUUCAUGCAAAAUAAAACGGGCUUUGGUGGGGGCCCCACAUAGGUGAUUUUAUAAUUGAUUGAUUGAUUGUUUGACUGAUUUACUUAUCAUGCAUGAUUGAUUUAAUCUAUUCCUUGAUAUGCGCUUCACUAUAUUUGUUCAUUGUUCACUGAUCCUGCUUCAUGAUAGCGCAUUUGUCACUGAGGAUCCAAGUACGCACCUACUUUCACUCUGGUAAUUAUCCUCUAUUGCAUAUUCUGACACUCAUAUGUGCAUGAUUGAUUCAGGUAUUCAUUGAUUUCUUUAUUAGAUGCCACGAUUGCUUCAUUUUAUUAGUAGAGACCCGACUUUAGGGACUUAGAGGGGUGUCUUUUACCGUACCUUCCCGAUAAGUAAUCUGACCCCCGAACUCGAUCCGGUUUUUCGCAGACCACCUUUUCCAAAACAAGGAGUCACACUUAGGGUUUUUCUUUCUUAUUUUGUUUACCCUUAAAAAAUAAAACAAAAAUAAGUGGCGACUCCAAGUCAAUUUUCAAACAAUAAAUAAAAAAUCAUUUUCAAAUAAAAAUCAAGCUCACCAUUCGAGUGGGAAACGCAUUGAGCCGAAAUGCGGGGUCCACAUUUACCCACUGCUCAAGAAAUUUGGAGUGCAUUAUCAAAGGUCUUCUAUGAUGGAAGUGAUGAAUUACAAGUUUUCACUUUGAAUCAAAAAGCCUUCACUGCCAAACAAAAUGGCAGGUCUCUUUCUGAAUAUCAUGGAGAGCUAACUGAAAUUUUUUGCGAAUUAGAUCAUCGGGAUAAGGUAGUCAUGAAAGACUCUGACAUUGCAGCAUACUAGAAAUCCCUUGAACAACAACGAGUGCACAUCUUUCUUGUUGGAUUGGAUGGUGACUUUGAGCAAGUUUGAGGAGAGAUUUUAGGCAAAGAUCAUCUUCCCAAUUUGGAAGAAUGUUAUACACUGAUUCAACGAGAGGCAGUGCGUUAUGCUAGUAUGAAAGUAGAAUCUGACAACCUUGACACCUCAACUAUGGUAGUCCAACAGCGAUCAACCUAGAAUUGGCAUAACCAAUCUAAGACCAACCAUCCUAAGACAGACCCUAAUAUUAAUAAGUCAACCUUCAAAUGCACUCACUGCAAUAAGACUGGUCAUACCAAGAGUCGUUGCUUUGAAAUUGUGGGAUAUCCAGACUGGUAGGAUCAUAAUCGUGAUCAACGGAAGAAGGAUUCCAAGAAAACCUCGACUGCAGCUGUUGCCGAAAUAAAAACAGAGGCUAAUGUUGCUAAGAAAGCCUCUGCAUUGGUAGCCGCUACAGAUUAUGGUGGUAAGUUUUUAAAUACUUCUACACCUGUUAUUAAUAGUGCAUGGAUAAUUGAUUUUAGUGCUACAGAUCAUAUGACUUUUGAUUCUAGACAGGUCUCACCCCUUAGACAUUCCCUACAAAAAAUUGUUUCCACAACCAAUGGUAACACAACCCCAGUCAUUGGGGAAUGAUCCUUAACUCUUACUGAUACUUUGAAUUUGGAUUAUGUUUUAAUUGUUCUAUCUUUAGAUUACAAUCUUUUAUUAAUUUCUCAAAUCAGUACAACCUUAUCUUGUAUUGUCAUUUUUUGGCCUGAAUUUUGUAUUUUUAAGGACAUCCAAAUAAGAUAGACGAUUGAUUGUGGUAUUAAGCAGGGAAAACUCUAUUACUUGGACUUGCAAUCAAAGGAUUCAAAUAAGUUACGACAAGCCUUGAUGACAGAUGGAUCUGAGGGGGAGAAGAAAAAGUUUGAAAUUUGGUUGUGGCAUCGACGUUUGGGGCAUGCUUCAUUUGGUUAUUUAAAAAAAUUGUUUCCUAGUUUGUUUGCAAAGAGUGAUAUUUCUGGUUUCCGUUGUGAUAUUUGUGAAUUGGCUAAAAGCCAUCGUGCUUCAUUUCCAUUAAUUUUGAAUAAAAGUCUGUUUCCUUUUAUGGUUAUACAUUCUGAUGUUUGGGGCCCAUCCAAAGUCUCAACUUUGAGUGGUUCGUGUUGGUUUGUUACUUUUAUUGAUGAUUGUACCAGAAUGACAUGGUUAUACUUGAUGAAGACCAAAGAUGAAGUGAACUUGUUGUUUCAAAAAUUUCAUAAAAUGAUUGAAACUCAGUACAAUGAAAAGGUUCGAGUUCUACGUAGCGAUAAUGGUGGAGAAUAUCAGAGUUCUAAUCUUCAAAAGUAUUUGGAAGGACAUGGCAUCAUUCAUCAGACUACUUGUUCCAAUACACCCCAACAAAAUGGAGUCGCUGAACGGAAAAAUCGUCACUUGUUAGAGGUUGUUUAUGCUUCCUUGAUAGCAGCAAAAAUACUGAUAUCUUAUUGGGGAGAAACAAUCACAUCUGUCGCAUACUUGAUCAAUCGGGUACCUUUUAGCUCAAUUAAAUUCCAAACACCUCUCCAAGCUCUUAGUAAUGUCGUAGUUGCCCCAACCUUCCCAAAUCUACUCCUCGUGUUUUUGGUUGCGUGGCAUUUGUGCAUCUACACAAACACCAACGCACCAAGUUAACUUCCCGUGCAUUGCAAUGUGUGUUUGUUGGAUAUGCAUUGCACAAAAAGAGAUAUCGAUGCUACCAUUCUCUAACUCGACGAAUGUUUAUUACAAUGGAUAUGGUGUUUCAUGAAGAUUCGAUGUAUUUUUCAUUUGAGUCUGAACUUCAGGGGAAGUACCAGAAGAAAAUUCAGACUCUCGAUUAUGAUUAUCAUAUCUCUGAGGAGGAUGAAUCUGGACAAUCUGAACUAGUGAACCAGGAAGCAGGUGAGUUGGAUAUGAGUGGUACAACUUUGGAACCAAGUAGUAAUGACCACNNNNNNNNNNNNNNNNNNNNNNNNNNNNNNNNNNNNNNNNNNNNNNNNNNNNNNNNNNNNNNNNNNNNNNNNNNNNNNNNNNNNNNNNNNNNNNNNNNNNAAUAGAGGUAUUCCUAAACCCACAUAUGAACUUGAAUUGUCUACCAAAGUCAAAUAUCCCAUCAACAACUAUGUGUCUAACCAUCGUUUGUCUGAAUCAAAUAAGUCAUUUGUAAAUCAAUUAUCUACUUUAGUUAUUCCUAAUAGUGUGCAGGAAGCCUUAGCUGAUCCAAGGUGGAAAGCAGCCAUGAAUGAAAAGAUGAAAUCAUUGCAGAAGAAUGAAACAUGGGAACGCGUAGAAUGUCCACCAGGAAAGAAGCCAGUUGGGUGUCGUUGGAUCUAUACUGUGAAGUACAAGGCAGAUGGUAGUAUUGAACGAUUUAAAGCAAAAUUGGUAGUAAAAGGGUACACUCAAACUUAUGGAAUUGACUACACAGACAUUUGCACCUAUAGCUAAGAUCAACACAAUUCGAGUAUUACCGUCUUUAGCUGCAAACCUGGAUUGGCCAUUACAACAGUUUGAUGUGAAAAAUGUCUUUAUGCAUGGCGAGUUAUCUGAAGAAGUAUAUAUGGAUCUUCCACCAGGAUACAUGGUGUCAGAAAAGCAAUAUCAGAAGGUGUGCAAAUUGAAGAAGUCAUUGUAUGGGUUGAAGCAAUCCCCGAGAGCAUGGUUUGGAAGGUUCACAAAGUCAAUGAGAGCUUUUGGUUAUCGUCAAAGUAAUUUAGAUCACACUUUGUUCCUAAAAAAGCAACAUGGUAAGAUUACAACACUCAUCGUAUAUGUGGAUGACAUGGUAGUUACAGGAAAUGAUCCUGAAGAAAGAAAAGCUUUAUAAAAUUAUCUAUCUAGAGAAUUCGAAAUGAAAGAUCUAGGUCAUCUGAAAUGCUUUCUUGGGAUUGAAGUUUCUCGAUCAAGUGAAUGAAUUUUUCUGUCUCAAAGAAAGUAUGCUUUAGAUCUUUUACAGGAGACUGGAAUGUCGAGAUGUCAACUUAUUGAUACACCAAUAGAAGAAGGUUUGAAAUUGUGUGUUGAGCUUAAUCAAAUAUCAACCAAUAAGGGAAGAUACUAAAGACUUGUGGGGAAAUUAAUGUACUUAGCUCAUACAAGACCAAAUUUUGCUUAUGCAUUGAGUGUAGUAAGUCAAUACAUGCAUAAUCCUGGAGAGCAACAUAUGAAUGCAGUUAUGCGUAUUUUAAGGUAUUUGAAGAAUGCUCCUGGAAAGGGAAUUUUGUUCACUAAAAAUGUUGAUCAUUAGAGUAUAGAAGUAUAUACUGAUAUUGAUUGGGCUGGUGUAGUGGAUGAUAGGCGAUCUACAUCUGGUUACUUUACCUUUGUAGGUGGUAAUCUUGUGACAUGGAAAAGUAAGAAGUAGAAUGUCGUCGCUCAUUCAAGUGCAAAAGCGAAAUUUAGGGGUAUGGCUCUAGGACUUUGUGAGGCAUUAUGGCUAAAACUCCUCUUAUAGGAUUUAGGUUACCUAUCUAGGCAACCAAUCCAAUUGUUUUGUGACAAUAAAGCCGCAUGUGAUAUUGCUGAUAAUCUAGUACAACAUGAUCGUACAAAGCAUGUCGAGGUGGACAAAUUCUUCAUUAAGGAGAAGUUGGAUGAUAAGAUUGUGGAAUUGCCUAAGAUUCGAUCAGAAAAUCAAUUGGUCGAUAUCCUCACCAAAGCUGCAGUCUCAAGUCGAGUGUUCUAAAAAAUUUUAGACAAGUUGGGCAUGUGUGAUGCACCAACUUGAGGGAGAGUGUUGAGAUAUUAGAAAUGUUUAGAUAUUAUGAAAGUUGAGAUAUUAGAAAUGUUGAGAUAUUAGGAUAUUAGUUGUUCUUUCCUUGUAUCAUUUUUUCUCAUUCUUAGAAUGGUGAUUACCUUCUAUAUAUACUCUGUACAUGAACGAAUGAAAUAAUCAAUGAAAAACUACCAUUCAUCAAUUUGAAGAAUUUUAGCAUUUUUUAAAUAAAUAAUAAAUAAAAACACCAUCUUUAAAGGCACCUCCAUUUUAGGUAGGUGCCCACUGAUAAUCACUUACAUGUUGAUUGGGCACUUGCAUGCUUAGGACGGUAUCUAGGAACACGUGUGAUGAGUGGCUCCAGAAUUAAAUGGAAAAUUCUAACGUAUCAAAAGGUGUAUCAUAUCAAAGUGUGGGGUGAGAAAUUAUUUGAGUUUAUAGGAAAAAAAAAUGGAUAGAAAGGAAUAUGAUAUAGAUUUUCUCAAGUUUUUCUUCAAUAUGGUUUUGUCCGAUCCAAGUCUGAUUAUUCUUUGUUUAUCAAAGGAUCUUGAUCUUUUUUGUUGCUUUAUUGGUUUAUGUGGAUGAUAUCAUCAUCACUGAUCCAAACACUCAACUGAUCCAGUUUUUGAAAACGUUUCUUCAUACUCAGUUUAAGCUUAAGGAGUUGGGAUGUUUGAAAUUGUUCAAUCUACCACAGGUAUUGUGUUAUCUCAAAGGCAUUACACGCUUCAACUCCUUGAAGGUGUAGGGACCCCUUCUCUGAUGACACGUGGCACGCACCUCUAUCCGGAUCGACCCUGGCCGUACCCCCCCAAGAGGACACGUGGCGCACACCUCUAUCCGGGUCCCCCAGGGAGGAGCACACGACACUCGCAAGCAUCAUGCCCGGACGGCAAUAUAUCCUACCCGGAUAUAUUGUCCAGAUCAUUGACUAUAGCGAGCAUGCCCUGCUGAGUCAUCCUCGAUAGCCUGCCACCACCCACGUUCCGCCACCUGCAGGGCGAAAGGACAGGAGCGAUGACAAGUCGCCUCCCACGAUCUCUGACAGCCGCCUGCAGGGUGAUGAUGACCCUGCCACCACCUUGAGGGCAUCAUGACGAGCCAAAAAGUCUUCCCACCAUUAAAGAGGGAAGUAGAGCUUCUGACACUAUAUAAAAGGGUCUUCACACAAGGAAGAAAGUAAGCUUGCUAUCCCUGAGAAGAGGCCGACAGCUUAAUCUCUAGAGCCAUGGCUAACAAAAUCAUCGGAGGGUGUGUCCGGACAUCCUGUUCGGACAUCUUUUGCAGGGACAACUGAGCUAGAACUCAAUCUUGGUUGACAGCGUGCGUCCACUUAGCAGCAACGUGGAUCCCUGGGACGCAAGACCUCAACAGAAGGUACUGGGUAUCUUACUUGUAAGCUGACAUCUGCUCCUAUGGAUCCUAAGGUUCAGCUCAGUGCUCAACCUCGGUUACCUCACUUGUAAGCUGUUCAUCACCUUUUUAAGUCCACUCUAGAUCAGGGCCUUUUCUUCUCUUCCUCAUCUUCUCUUCAGUUGAAAGCUUUUUUCAGAUACUAAUUGGGGCUCUUAUUUAAAUACCAAAAAAUCUAUCAUUAGUUUCUUUAUCUUUAUUGGUGAUUUUUUGGUCUAUUGGAAAGCUAAGAAGCAAACCACAAUUUCUUGAUCCUUUGUAGAGGUCGAGUAUAGAACUUUACCUUCUACUACUAGUGAAUUGGUCUGACCACACCAAUUGCUGAAGGACUUUGAAGUUGUUAUUUCCUCUCUUGCACUUUUGUUUUGUGAUAAUCAAACUGUCAUUUAUCUUGCUUCUAAUCCUCUUUUUCAUAGAAGGACCAAACAUAUCAAGAUGGAUUGUCAUUUUGUUCGUGAUAAAGUUGUUUUAUUUGCUUAUUAAAUUGUUUUUCUAAAUAAAAAAUAGAAUAAUGUUAAACUUUUAUAUUUAACCACAAAAAAAAUAGUUAUUGAAUUUUAUUUUUGAGAAUGUUAUAUUAAAAUUAUUUUUAUAAAAAAUAAUAUAUAUAUUUUAAUUUUUUUAUUGGGCAUAUAUAUCCCGAGAAUCUCAAGCAAAAGAUGUUCAAGUAAUUUUAUUUGAUCUCCUAUGUCCAAACAAAAGUAAAGAAGAAGAGUUUUUACGCAUGGGAUAGACUGAACUUGUCAGGAGAGUUUACGAAGUCCAAAUAAGAAAAAGAUAUUUAACCAUUCUCAAUGAUGUUUGGACUAAAAAUGCUUGGGAAAGCCUAAGGUGGUGUUUGUUUUUUUACUUAAUUCUAAAUAGAAUCUUAAUACUUAAUAGUAUUAAAUAUUAGGUUGUUUGUUUUUGUAGUAUUUUAUUUCUAUUAAGUAUUAAAAAGUAAAAAAAAACCAUGAUAUUUUUUCUAUUUAGAAAAAGCCACAUAUUUUGGCUUUUUCUAUUUAGUAAAAAGUUUAUAAUAAGUCAUGAAAAAGUAAAAAAACAAAUAACCUAAAUUCUAAAACUAAAUGAUUUUUAGCAAAAAGCCAAAAAAACAAACACCACCUAAGACUUGCAUUCUUAUGGGAACAAGGAGGUUCCAAAAUACUGCUCACCACACGGAAUAAAAGUGUAGCCAUGCAUGCAGAUACAAAAGGCUUUAUUUAAGAAACUGUGUGGCCAUGUAUCAUGUAUGCAAAUACAAAAGACUUCAUUUAUGAACCUCAGUGCUCGACUCUUGAAAUGAGUUUGGAGCUGCUCAAGAAAGCAAUAUUUCUAAGAGGCAGUCCAGGUAAUUCCUCAUCCAUCCAUCUUUUAACUUCAUUACUGGUAUGUAACUUGAGUCACUCCGCUCUCUAUAUAAAUUGAGCUAUAUUCCAUUGUUAAUUUUUAUGUGACAUAAGGCUUCCAUUGAAUUUCAAUUGUUUAGACAAUUAAUAUCAGCUAGUUUGGUCUUUCUUUGAUUUUCAGAUUUUACACGGGAAAGUCUAAAAAAGCAAAUUGUCACGGACUUAGGUUUCUCCUAAACUCACAUGUAAUGUUUAAACAAUUCAAGACAUUUGAUGUUGUUAAGUCAGUCUUCUUGUCGUACUUAACUUUUUAGGAUAAGUUAGGCACACGACUUGAAAUUUAAGAAAACCAAAGGCAACACUUAAACUAAAGGAAACUUGUAUUACACAAAUGAAUGCUUACAAUGACUAGAUGCUCCCACUUGUUUGGUACCUUGAUCAAAUGAGACCUAUUUAUUGACACUUUAAGAAUUCUUUAAAAUCUUGAAGGUUCCUUACAAAUCAAGAAUUCUUUAGAACAUCCUACACAAGUCCUAUGCAUAAGUAUUUACAAAAAAUAUUUGAAACUCUCCGGCUCCAUAUUCUUCUCUUGUCUUCUAGCUUAGUGUAGAGAUGCGUGAAUAUAUAUAUAUAAAAAGAUUCCUUAUUUUUCAAUCGAGCCACCUAAGCUUCAAUUAGAUGCUUUAUGUAAAAUUAUUUGUAUAUGCACUACAUGAAUGUAAAAAGGUUGGAUCUCAUAUAAAUUUUCCUGUCUUCUAGUUUUAAUUUGAUAAAAUUAAAAUGGUAAUAAAACUUCAAUUGAACUAAAUUUGUGGACAAAUACUUUACAAUAAAAUUAUUUAAUAAUAACUAUUAAGUACACAAGUGUAUUUAAAUACCACUUAUUUAAAUAGUAAGUUAUUAUUGGUGUAUUUAAAUACUCCAAGUGUAUUUAAAUUUUCUUCUCAUCAGUUGAAAGCUUUUUUCAGAUACUAAUUGGGGCUCUUAUUUAAAUACCAAAAAAUCUAUCACUAGUUUCUUUAUCUUUAUUGGUGAUUUUUUGGUCAAUUGGAAAACUAAGAAGCAAACCACAAUUUCUUGAUCCUCUGCAGAGGUCGAGUAUAGAGCUUUACCUUCUACUACUAGUGAAUUGGUCUGACUACACCAAUUGCUAAAGGACUUUGAAGUUGUUAUUUCCUCUCUUGCACUUCUGUUUUGUGAUAAUCAAACUGUCAUUUAUCUUGCUUCUAAUCCUCUUUUUCAUGAGAGGACCAAACAUAUCAAAAUGGAUUGUCAUUUUGUUCGUGAUGAAGUUGCUAAUGGUUUCAUUAAACUAAUGCCUCUUCGCUCUCAACAUCAACUAACUGAUAUUGGAAUUCGGUGGCUACACAUUAGUUAGUGGGGGCUGAUUUCAUGCAAGUUGUUGAUGUGUAAAAACUGAGAAUUUGUGGAUGGGUUUUGUAGAGAAUUUAUAAUAUAAGUGGCUAGGUAAUGAGGCAUGGUGGCUGAAUUUUUUUGUGGAGAAAAUCAUAGAGAUUCUUUAAGAUUUAGACAGGAAGAUUGAGGGGUUGGUGCACAGCCAUAGGAGUUUUUUUUAGAGAUUGGGAAGAUACGGAUUGGUUUUGGGAAGGUUUGAAGAGACCCACGACAUUGAAAAUUUCUUUAAAAACUUUUAGAUUUUUUGGAUAGAAUGCGAAAGGAGAUGUAUAUGGCUGCAAUAGGGGACUUUUGGGAAGGAGUAUCACGACACAUAUUUUGUGGAGGAGGUUUCUCUUAGAUUGGAAGGCAUGUGGGCUGACAUAUUCUGAGAAGGAAAGAUUUACACGGCCAUGGAGAGUUUUUUUCUGGAAAGGUGGGCGGCAUUAAGAGUCGUCCGGGAUAUUUUUAGGAGACGUGGGCUGGAUAUAAAAUGGCUUUGUGCUUAAAAUAUAAACAAAUUUCAAAAUAAGCCUUGAAGUUGGCCCAAUGGUUUUGGACUAAGUUUAAACAAAUUCAACCAAAUGGACCCAAAAGGUUUGAUAUAAUUUUGCUUUUGAACAAACCAACCGUAUUGAUUCGAUCCAAUUUUCUUUCAUAAAGUGAUUGAACCGACUUUUUUAUAACUUUAAUAUUAAAACAUUCCUAAUUUUCCUAACUUCAUCAUUUAAUCAUCCAAGUGUACCAUCCAUGAUUUGCCAUUUUUCCUCUACUUUCUAUACAUUUGUUGACGUGGAUUGAUCCCCUUUGCUAAAAAUUUGAACUGUCGGCAACGGCAGAUUAUCAUAAUCCUCUUGGGCCAUCGCAUCUUCAUUACCUCCCAUAUUUAUUCCUUUAAAUAAGAAUAAUUAUCCCAUUACAAUCACAUUGUGCCAUAAAUCAUUCCUAUUUUGUCUUCAACUUAAGCGUCCAUAUCAUGUAGAUAUUCCAUGUCACCUACCACUUUCCCAUCUGUCAUAUUGGACUGAAUUAAUUACCCGAUUGUACCCUCUAAAUCAUACGUGGAAGUGUAAAAUAACACAAAAAAGAAAUUAAAUUGAUUUUAGAGUCUGUUUUGAUUAGAAUGUUGCACGUCUUGAAGUUCAUGUGCUUCAAAAUUUUAAUUUCAUGAAAGUGACAAAAAAGAGAGAUAGAAACCAAAAGGAAAAAUCAAGGAAGAAAGCAAUACCACCAUAUAAACAUGGUACUCAUUUUAUUAUAAUUACCACACCAUAUUUAAACACAAGGCGCCUAGUAUAAGGAUUUCCUCGAGGCUUCCCCACUUCACAGACGUAAAAUGGGAUCACAGAUGUCAUCCCGCCCUUAGUAGCCUCAGCAAAAGUUAAAGGAUAAAAAAAAAAAAAAAACAUUAGCACAAACUCUAGAUUACAAUAAUAUUAGAGCACCAUAAGCACCAGCUCCGGCCCAUAUGAUCAGUGGUGAUGGUGGGGUGGUCCGGGUUUGUGAGGCUCCGGAGGCCCGUGAGGCCCCGGAGGUCCGUGAGGCCCCGGAGGUCCGUGAGGCCCCGGAGGCCCGUGAGGCUCCGGAGGUCCGUGAGGCCCCGGAGGUCCGUGAGGCCCCGGAGGCCCGUGAGGCCCCGGAGGCCCGUGAGGCUCCGGAGGUCCGUGAGGCCCCGGGGGGCCAGGAGGUGGUGGAUGGGGCUGUGGGUGAGGGUGGCCGUGGGGACCUGGCGGUGGUGGGUUAUUCAUCUCUCUUCCUCUUUACCUUCCUUCUUGUUCUUCUUGUUCUUCUUGGUUGCUGCGGCGAAUGGUACGAGGGGCGCUUGCGAAUUUAUAGUGGCAAACGGUGGGUGGGAAUCUCUUCGCCCAUUGGUAAGUUCAAAACUACAAGUCAACAAUGUGGUAGCUGUGUCUACCUAGAAUUUAAUAGAAUCAUCCGGAUGAAACUGGUUUUCUAUUCUUUUGGCUUUUGUUUUUUCUUCAAUUUAAUGUUAUUUUGCUUUGAAUUUAGUCAAUUUACUAACAGAACCGUCCACGUACAAAUCCUAUCUCCUCGUCUUCCUCCCUCUGUUCGACACCUGUCUCUCCAUUUCUCAUGUCACAUCCCACUAUUGAUAAUGACAACCAAUAUAGAACAAAGACGUUGACCUAAAAUCAAUCCAGACAGGCUGGCCCAAGCCCAGAGUUGGGUUGGUUUUGGGCCGAACAUAGAGUCCACGCCAAGCCAGGUGAAGUUCCUUGAACUUUCGUUGGAACAAGCGUCGGUGAGCCCAUUACUUCGAUUCCUGGAUUAGAAUAAAGCGACUUAUCUUCAGUGAAAAAGGUCAAUCCAAUGACUACCAUACCUUUCCAGCUUCACAGCCAUUGCGAUCAGUUCCGCGUGGGAUGAAGUUACUUUGCCUCUAAUUAACAUUUAUAAAUUAAUAGUAACUUUUAAUAAAUUAAUUAAGAACAUUUGGAGUUUAACAUCAAAAUCACUAUAGUUUUCUUCCUUCCCAAGUAAAAGAAAAAAAAAAAGAAAAAAAAAAGGGCAAGAAGUGGCAAUGACAAGUAACAGCCCUUUCAAACAGGGAACAUGUUGGGAACCGACGUGGCACCCAAAUUGGGUGUCAAGGGCAAUGGGGCAUGAGGAUUUCAAACUAAACGUUUGGGUUUCAAAAUUGAAACGAUGGGCACUUGGGUGCCUCCAUUUUUAGGGCACCUGACACACGUGGCGCAUGAACCGGGCCUCAAAAAGUUCAAAAUGGCGUGGGCGAGGGGGGUCUGAACGAGGACAGCAGGCCCUAUUUUUGUUUUCCAGUAAUGCCCCCAAAAUUGUCUCAAAUAAUUGAGAGAUGAGUCGUGGAGAAAGAGAGAAAAGGGUCGCCCUCUGAAUUGGUUAUGUUGCCAUUAUCAUCAUUUCUCAUCUUCCCCUGAAACCAAACACACCGCUCCUUCUCUCUCCAUCUCUAAACAGGGGUCGCACUCCCAAAUCCCAUGGGCUCCAGCAGCAGUCGUCUGGGUUCGCGUUCUUCUCGGCCACGACUCAACCGCAGGCUCUCCUCUCUUAUCUGCGGUGGCUCCACUUCUCGAGCUCAGCCCGAGGUAUCAUCGCGAUUGUCUUUAUCAAGAAUAUUCAGUUUCGAACCCUAGAUUACCUAUUGCUUGUUUCUUUGUUAUUAUUUGCGGUGGUUUCUGUUCGAAUUUAUCGACUUCUUGUUAAAUCCGUCGAGUAAUUUCAAUUUCCAAUCAUGUGAUAUAUUUGUUUCUGUGUGAUAUGAAAAUUGGUUAAUCGAUGCACAAGAUCGGUCAAGUUUCGGGUCAAAUUUGGGAUUAAUUAUACGAUUUAUUGUCUCGAACUUUUAUACGUUUUAUAUAUAUUGCUUUUUGAAGGGUUGAAUUUAUGCAAUACUUAUUUUGUUGAGUCAUUUGAAUAAUUAAUCUUCCUGAUUAGAAGAUUUUUAUUUUAUUUUUCCGAUUUAUUUUGGGAUGUAGGUGUUUAGUUGUUCCAUUGGAAAUGAAUGAUUUGAGUCAUUUGACUAUUUUUAAAUGUCAGAUGGAGGUACUCAUCCAGUCACCAAGAAUGGGUUCUUUUAUUAUUAAUUUGUGGUGUCUAAAAUCAACGAAAGUAGUUAGUUUUAGGGUGUCACGAAAUGCUCCCAUUUUGAAGUUUUCCUAGAAUUUUUGUUUUCUGGGUUUGUUGAAUGAUCUAUAAUCUUUUUCCAGUAUUUAUUUUUUGGAAUAUUGAAAUCAAAUAUGAUAAUUCUGUUAUCAGUUUUUCUUGAAUAGUGGUUACCUUCUUUAAUUGAUCCAAAUUCUUGAGUUUUAAAUGGGACUUCUAGGUCUAUUUGAAUCUUGGAAAGAAUGAGAGAAAGGGAGGAAAAAAUUUGGAAAAGUAGCCUAAGAAAGGAAACCUUUUUCUAAAAUAUAUAUCCAUGAUUGUCCCUUUGUUUCCCUCAUUGUUUUCAAGAUUCAAAUGUCUGUCUUAAGGCUUUCUUUGGUUAUUGGGAGGAAAGAAUGAAGAAGAAAGUGCCAAAAAAAAUGCAAAGAAAGUCAUUUGUAAUCAUUUUCCUUUUGGUUUCCCUUUCCCUCAUUAUUUCUUAGAAACAAAUGGAAGGUAAGGGAAACUUGGGUUACUAAUUUAAUUAACUCUUGUACAAGUGGGCCAAGAUGAAGAUAUUUGUAAGAAGCUUUGAGUAAAGUAGACAAAAGAAACUAGACUGAUUUUAUUGUUUAUUGGACUCCAGAAUCAACCGUUUGAUCUCUGUGAAGUUUUGUUGGCGACCCAUUUUUGGAAGGAUACCUGGCAACUUCCUUUGGUUUCCAUGUGACAUGAUCCAAAAAGGGGAAAUAGAGAUGGACACCUGGCAACUCCCUUUGGUUUCCGCUUGACAUGAUCCUAAAACAGCAAAAAGAUUCACCAGGGGUUUCACUUGCCAAUUCCAGAUAGAUUGUUCGCAAAGUAGGCCCAUGCAGGGGGCUGCUGGACAUCUCAUCUGUAUAGUCACAUGCCUUGGUAACUCAGCAUCUUCCUUGACCACAGUACUGAAGCACCCUAUGAUUAAUUCAGGUUAGGAUGAAGCUUAUGCUAUGGCUCAUUGUACUCAAGUCCUGCAAAAUGGACUGAGGUUCUUUUAGUGUGCUAUCCAUGAACAUCAUAGUGCACGCAUGGGCUAGGCCUUGGGGGGAUUGUUAGGCGUAAGAUCUGGAGGCUGGAGUUAUGGACGUCCAUGGUGUAAGAUACUUUCCAAGUUGAGCCAUGUCGGAAUAAGUUAGAUUUACCCGUUAAAGCGUUUGUGCUCUCUGCAUCAAAGAUAAUUGCCGUGCAAGAACCAGGCAGCUUAUUAGAAUAGUGUGCAAGUCUAUUUCAUGUGAUUGGUUCGUAAAUCGGCUUCUGUGUCUCAUAUUAUCAUCCUCUUGUAUACUUUGGGAUGCUGUUUUGACGUAUUUUUAUAUAUAUAUAUAUAUAUAUAUAUAUACUUUCUGGUCUUACCUAUCAAAAAAAAAUCCAGUUGAGGCUUUUGAUUAAUGAUGAAUGCAGUUUGUGUGGUACUUUGGCCUGAUUCUUGCAGAUUAGCAGGAGUAGAUUGUUUAUUGAUGGUUUGAAAUUUGGCUUUUCCAUGUAAUCAUUCUGUUCUGUUUAACCUGUUUAUGGGGCUUUUGAAGCAAACAUUGAAAUACUUAUGUUAUUUUGUCCAUUUGGCUUAGCGGAUAGUAUUUCUAGAACAAGAGGAAUGAGGACAAAGUGAAUAUGCUAGUAUAUUUCAGCAAGUUUAGUCCGUGGAGGUUUUGGUUGGUGUCUAUUUUGUUAAUUAAGAUCACUUUGAUCAAGAGCCCAGACAAGCACUGGGAUCACAAGAAAGCUUGAAGAAAACCAUAAUAAUAGGCACCAAAAAAUGUGUGCAACAUGGGUAGAACUACUUUCCUUAUUUUCAGUCCAUUAUGCAUCUGGCAAAGAAGGCCCUUCAUUUAUUUUAAUUUUUCUUUUUUAAAAUGUAAUGAGAUGAAGUUGUUGAUUAUUUUCUAGUACGGAAAAUGGUUAAAUGGAUCAUCCAUACUGCUCAACUGUGUUGUCCAAUUCCAUGAAAGAAUCACAGGACUUGGAAGAAUCCCUUCCCCAUGAGUCGAAAGAGUGCUAAAAAGAGUUCAUAUUAGUUAAGCAGUAAUGCUCAAUGUUGCUUUGUAUUAUUUAUUUCUCUUUUAUUUUUGGUUGUGACCUGACCUAAUAUAUUUAUCAGAUUAUUUUCAUUUCUUGUGACGAAACAUAGUGGAUUGUCUCUAUGUUGGGACCUUCUUUCUUGGUCUGAUAAAAAAUGAAACUUUUAGAAUUGCCCUUUUGGUAUGGUAAUGCACUCACUCUUUGUAGGGCUUGGUGGUGUCAGUUUGAAGUCAAGGGUUUUUCUUAUGAAUUGACAUUCUUAUUCUAUGGCUAUGCACCAAAAAAGAAGAAAAAGUUACACUUAACUUCUGAAACAAAAAUAAAAUAAAAUCAAUAAAACUAUGGUACAUUAGGUUUUGUUGAUUUUCCUUUACAGGUGUGGACUUUUUUUUUUUUCCUUUUUUAAUGGUAAUGAAAUUUCUUUUCAGUCAUUAAUUACAGAAUCUUUUUGGGAAGCCUUUCAUAUCUAUGCUUCAAUAGAUGAAUUUCUGAGUAGACAAAAUUGCUAAAUUAACCAAUAAGCAAGCUGUUUCUUUCUUUCUUCUUCUCUUUCUUUUUCUUCUUUUUUAAUUUCACCAAGUUGCCUCCAUAAGUAGAUGUAAGAAAGAGUGUCUAUAGACCUUGGAUCUUGGUGUGGGUAUUGUGUUGAGCUCAUCAUUGAAGUAUUAGAUUUGUUACUUUCAAUUAGUUAAUUAAUAGAUUAAUUAAUUUCUUGUUUUUGAUCUUCAUUUUUAUUUGUUUGUUUCUGUUCUGUGUUAAUUAGUUCUUAUCCUAUAUUUGGGAUGAGUUCUUAUUUGAGAUGCUUGUGUUACAGAUUGAUCACCUUCUUUCAUCCUUUUGGUAAAACUUUGGUUGUAUCCACUGGCAGGCUCACUUCUUGAAGAAGUAACAGAAUCAUAAAUUUAUGGCUGCCAAACAUUUCAAUGCCAACAUAAUUUGUGCCUUUGAUAGGUAAAUAAGAGAUUGUAUUAGAAAUGCCUAGAAGCGGCGAAAAAUUUGGGCCUUUGACUGUGUUGGUAUGAAGAUGAAAAAUUAUUUAGUAAAAAAAUUUAUGUGGUCAAAGUUUUGAUGCUUAUAACUUGAUGAUCUUUCAUCUUCAAAGGUUGGAAGGAUAAGUUCUAUUGACCAGAUUUUUAUCUUUAUCUUUUAGUUCUAAUUUUAAUCUUUGAUAGGCAAGUCAUGCACUGUUGUCAAACAAAAAGUUCUGAACAAAAAAAAAAAAAAAAUCAGGCAUACAGGUCCUUCAGUUAACUGGAAUAAAUUUGAACCUGGCUUACUGUUCACUAUUGGGUGAAGUGUUUAUGAGUUUAAUGGCUCCCCAAAAUUUUUUUAUGGGGUCAUUACUCAGUCUUUAUACCUUGAACUUGGUGAUAUCAAAAGAGAGUGAUUGGAUUUUAGCAAAGGAAACUGACAUGAUGACAUUAUUUUCCUGAAGAUUGAAGAUAAUGAGUUUAAUGGCUCCCCAAAAAUUUGUAUAUGGGGUCAUUACUCGGUCUUUAUACCUUGAACUUGGUGAUAUCAAAAUAGAGUGAUUGAAUUUUAGCAAAAGAAACUGACAUGAUGACAUUAUUUUCCUGAAGAUUGAAGAUUGUCCAGCUGAAUUACUGGUGAAUGCUAUAGAACACAAUGAUCCUGUGACUGUCGAACAAAGCUCAACAAAGGCAUCCCAUUUGGCCUCCAGUGCUGGGACUGCAUUUACCAGCACCAGAACUGAAACAGGAACUUCAUCUGAGAGCAGUAGCGCAGCAAGGGAAGAUACUUCUUUUAUCAAUGAUUUAAGCAAUAUCGAAACAAGUAAUCGAGGGAAAUGCUUAUCUGAAAGUAAGGAAUUGAUUCCUCCUCAUCUGGUAAGUGAUGAACCUAGUCAAGUUGAUCCUUAUUGGGAGAGAAGUAGUAAUAUAGCUAGUGCUUCAUUUAAGGAUCUGCAUCCUUUGGACCCUGUCUCUGCAAAUGCAAGGGCUAACAUGGGUGCUGUAAAUGUUCAUAACUCAAUGGACAAGGAUAGGUCUAACAGUGGUGCAGGGGUCAUACAUUCAAGCAGUUCGCAUGCUCCAGAGCAUAGAGCUUCAUAUUCAGAUGGGGCAUCUGCUGAAAAUCAUGUGAGCGGAGUAUCAGCCAUUGAUAAUUCUAGUUCUGUUUCUGUUCCUGCUGUCACUGACUCACCAGUGACUUUGCACUCACAAGGAGAUGAAUCCAUUCAAGAGGCGAUACCUUCAGGUCUGGGAAUUGUGGUCUCCGAUCGGGCUGAUAGGGAGCGAGGUCGGAGAGAUGGAAGUGUACUUCAUGUUGAUGUGGUGAGCAUCUCUUCCAACAUUUUGUCUAGUACCACUGCUGAAGUAAGUAACCGUGAGGCAAGAAGGAAUAGUAGAAGACUGUUCUGGGAUGCCUUUUCAAGACGCAGUUCUCGAAGGCAUAGUGAUUCCCCAACCAUUGUCUUCUCAACAGAUGAUACUGAUGACCUAGGAUCUCAUGACAGAUGGCUCCUUGAUUUCAGUGGUGAUUUCUUUGAAGAUGGGGUUGGAGGUGACUCUGGCUACCUGGGUAGUAGAAUCCACAGCAUGAAUGAGCGAAGGUGGCACUCAAGAUCGGAGGUGGUUUUUUAUACUAUGAAGCAGCUCUUUUAUCAACACUUUCAAUAGUUUUCUUUUGAAAUCAUCUUGCAUCUCAUAAUCAGAAUUAUGUGGAAUUUUGUUGUAUGCAUGCUUUGUGAAAAAAUGUGCAGUUCAUUUCAUUUUGACUUCCUUAGUUAUAUGCACAUUACCAAUGUGAAUAGGCGCUAUUUCCCAUUGUGAUUAUAUUUCAAUUUUGGUUUAAUUUUCUUCAUAUUCUUUUUGAUUGUCCACCUAGGUAUUCUAGUGUGGGCAGUGGAAGCUAUAUCUGGAGGGGUUUAACUUUCUUUUCUUGCUCUUGGGUAAUUUUUAUAAACUCAUCCCACAAGAAUCUUUGCAGAUAUGGGAAAGGCUUCGUGGUGGGCUUGAUGAGAGUAGUCGGCGAACUACUACUUGUCCAACAGGCCUCCACCCUGAUGGUAUGUGCUCCUGCGAUUCCUUCUUGAUGGCUGAAGAAUCUAGCACUCGAGCAAGCAUCUCCCGAAUAGUCAUGCUAGCUGAAGCCUUAUUUGAGGUAGUUUUCUCUUAACCUGGCAUGGUUUUAUAUGGUUUCUCUCACUUUUGUUGUGCUCCUUUUUCUUGGCUAGUUUUCCUUUCAGUAUUUGUUUAAUUACUAACUUUUAUAUUAAACAUAAUGUUUCUUUUUUGUUAAGCUAUUUUUUUUUGUACUCCCUGUAAAUGAACUUUGUCCCUGGUAAUAGUCCUAGUGACUUUUACUUCAGUAUCAAUAUAAAAAGUUAAAAAAAGCAUUGAAGAUAUCAGCAUGAGAGUUAGCUUGGGAAUGAUCCUUUACUUUUUUGUUAUAUUUAGCCUUGAUUAGGAUAGAAUCUGCAUGUCUUUGAAAGGCUGCCCUUUGGUUUUUUUAGAUAAUUGAUUUCAGCACCUUAUCUAUUGUCUCCAUUUGUGUUACUGUGUUUUGACCCAUUGUUGAAGAAGCGUGCAACGAGUUGACUGUAGCCAUUAGUUUGGUGCUAGCAUUUUCUUGCCAGAAUUACUGAUUUGGGGACUUAGGUUUAUACUUUUAUACUGGAUCUUGUAGGAACUUUUAUCAGGCUGUGCAGAAUCAUUAGGCUGUGUGCAAUAUGCAACAUUUGAAGUUCUAUAUAUGGUUAUCUGACGAUUAUUUCAAAACAGAUAGUGGAUUAAUCCAGUACUGGUACUCCAUUUUUUAUUGAAAAACUGGGAUUUCCACCAGAAUGGAAUUAAUUACAUUGUAUUGGAUUUCUUUUAUCUCUUUCUGCUACUUGCGUAUGUCUUGGGUUAUCACUUUCUUGUUUUAGCCUAUUGAGUUUGAUAUAGUACAGGCAAGUAGACCUAAUCAACUGGAUGUCAAUGAAACCUGCCUUGACUAUAACUGAGGUUUUUUUUUUUUUUUUGGGUGGUUUAGCUUUAGGCUUCAUAGUUAGGUGAUAUUUCCAUUGCUGCAUUUGUGAUUGCUUGCUCUUCUAGAAUAUAGGCAAGGUUUUUCAUUGAAACACUCCUUAAAUGCUUGGUGAAUUUACCACUGAAAUGAGUAGUAACAUAUGCAUGGAGAGGAUAAACUGAUUUCUCUUGGCCGUGGUAUAUGACUGGCUCUCAUUGAAAUGUUUAGAAUACUGGUGAGCUAACAGAUGGGAGCAUUGACUGAUGUUAGAUAUUUCUUGAUUGCAGAGGCUAUUUUGACAUUUUGUUAUGAGCAUGGAAAAGAAAGUUUCCUCCUCAAUCUAUUUGAAGUUAAAUUGCUGUUUUGGAUGUGCUGACCUGAAUUCUAUUUAUUUACCCUUUAUAAGAAAUACAGUUUCCAAUUGCUUUUUUAUCAUGUAUAUCUGCAAUAUUACGUUUGAUUUUUUGUUGAUGGAAGUUGUAAGAAUUUUUUUUGGUUCCUCCUGAUUUUCUCUGCCAUGAUAAUGAUGAAAUUAGGUUUACUACAUUCUUGUAGGCUGUCUCAAAGGAGAAUUUUUCAUUAUCUUAAGUAUUAUGUUUGAUAAAAAAUCUUAAGGCAGAGUUUGGCUCCUUAAAGCUGGGUAAUGAGGUAUAUUUUAAAUUUUUGAUAUGCAGGUCUUGGAUGAAAUUCACCGCCAACCUGUCUCACUGGCACUGUCUAUGGUAUCACUCCCUGCCCCAGAGUCGGUUGUUGACUCUUUUCCUCUCAAGAAUCACAAAAAGGCCGACACAGCUCAGAGUGGGGAGGAUGUGGCACAGUAAGUUUCUAAUUAUAUUUUGUACUAGGACAAGCAGAAUAUGAUUGAAAUAAGAUGAUAUUGAUGAAAUAAUGCUUGAAAAUUAUUCUUUCAAUUCUUUAUUUCCAAAAAAAAAAAAAAUGAAAGAAAGAAAAAGGAUUCUUGAGUUUAUAUAUCUUUGGCAUGAAAACCAUUUUGUUAUUGUUGCUAUUAUUUGAUAAGUGAAAUAUUUUGACAAAACAUGGAAAGCUAAUAAUUUACAGUUCAUUACUUUGUAUUUGAUUGUGAGUAACAAUACAUCCCUCAAUUAUAGAAUUUCAUGAUAUUACCACCUUAAUGUAACUGUCAUUGACAGGUGCUACAUUUGUCUGGCUGAGUAUGAGGAAGGUGAUAAAAUUAGAGUUCUUCCCUGCCACCAUGAGUAUCAUAUGUCAUGUGUUGAUAAAUGGCUCAAAGAAAUACAUGGGUAUUGUCAUUCCUGUCCAGUGCUCACUUGCCUUGCAUUUGUCCUUUUUUUUUUUCCUCUUCAAAUUUUACUAAUUAGGUUUUGCUUCACAGGGUGUGCCCACUAUGCCGCGGAGAUGUUCGUGAGGGCCUUACUGGUGGUUCUGUCUCAAACGGAGAGACCCCCUCUCUUUGAUAGCAUUGUACAUAUCCAUGUAAAUAGGGGCAAUGUGCUCUUUAAAUGUUGUAUUUACCUCCCUCAAAAGAUAUUUUUGUAUCUGAAUUUUAACCGUAUAUUUUCAAAAUUCCAUACUUGGUAGGAUCUUUGCCAUGUUUUGAUUCUGCAGAAUUAGCUUCCAAGGGAUCAACAGCCUUGGUCUCACCAAAACAUGCAUUGAUCUUAAUCACACAAGACUCACAGAAGUAAGAAACUGAGAACUAGGGUACCGGCAUGUUUAAAUUCUGAAUAUUAUUAAAUCGUCAAGCCAUUCAUCACAUUGAGAUGGUUUAUUCCUGCUAAAUGUGAAUGGCAUGAUUACUUUAAAUAGUCUCUUGACGUUAGGAUGGCAUCCCACACCUCAUGAACCUGAUUAAUUUAUGGUCAUUCUACAUUCCUAUUUGCUUUUCUGGUUCUUUUAGAGAUCAUGUGCCACUAGACUUAAGGUUACAGUGAGAGGUUUACAUGGCAGGAAAUGGGUGAUUGUUUGUUUGUUGGCGCACAUUGAGGGUGUGUUUGAUAUGCUGAACAAGAAGUUCAUUCUAUUCUUAUAUUGUUUGAAUGCAUAUGGGAAUGAAAUGUUGAAAUGAUAAUUUGUUUUCAUUAUUUAAAUGUUAAGUGAAAAGGGGAAUGAAAAUGAAAAAAAAAAUAUCAAUAAUAUCUAAACAUUUGGUUUAAAAUAAUUUUUAAUUUUUAAUUAAAAAAAUAUGAUAUUAUUAUAUAUGGUUAAAAUCAAUUCUUAUUUUCAUUUUAAAAAAAUCCUUGAGUGUGCGUGGGUGUUUUUUUCCCUAAAUGAUAAGAAUCUAUUGGGGCAUAUGAUUUAAAAAUAAAAUUAUUUUUAAAAAUUUAUAUUAUUAUUUGAUUGUUAUUUUUUAGAAAUAAUUUUUAAAAACAAAGUAAAAGAGAGAAUUGUUUCAUUUUUUUUUUCACUAAAGAAAAUGACCAUAAGUUUAAUAAAUUUAAUAAUUUUUAAAAAUAAUUUAAAACUAAAUAUAUAUAAUUGAUUAAUAAUGAAAAAAAUUAAAUUUAGUUUAUUUUUAUUUAAAAAAUAAAAUUAUUCUUUACUAAUUUUGAAUAAUUUUCUGUUAGCAAUUAUUAAUUUUAAAUUAUUAAUAUUCAUAUUUUAAUUUAUUUGUAACAAAAAAAUAUUUUCUAUUUUUAAUAAAAUUUGAAUUAAAUUUAGUUUACAUUAUAUAAAUUAAAUUUAAAUUUUAUGUUACAAAAUCAAAAUAAAAAAUUAUUUUUAAAAAUAACUCAUUUAAAAGAGUUCUUAAUUUUUAAAUUUAUGAAUAUAUUUUAAAAAUAACUUGCACAUGGAGAAUCAAAAUAAAAUACCUCCUACUCUAUUUUAUUUAGAAAAAAGAAUAAGACGUACAUUCCCACGAUGGUCGUUUCCCUACCAAACACACCCCGAAGUCUCACUGCACAUUCUGAGGGAAACAACCGGGAAUAGAACGGUCCAUCUACAAAUGUAAUAGGUGGAAUUCUACAUAAGUCGAAGAACAGAGUUCUUCAUUGUUCAUGCGAUGACAAGAAAAUGAGUAAAGAUAAAAGCAUACUUCCGAGCGCGGCCUCUCGGUGCCAACAAACCAGCACUGCCCUAUUAUAUUUAACCCAUCACGGAAGAUCCUUGCUUUGGACUCCAGAAGGGGUUCUGGUUCUGGUCCUGGUAAAAACCCAAUUCAGACCUUGGCUUUUCACCUCUACCAUCACUGUAGUCAUGAAAGAAGGGAUUGUUUUCAAAGCACUUGGUGUUACUGCUAUCGAUGUUGCUGAUAUAGGAGUAAUCUUCCUUGGAGGGGGCGAGCUUUGUUUGCUUCAUCUGGAAUGAAUGAUCCUGAUGCGCAAAGAGAUUUGGGUGACAAUUCUCAUCAUCUUCAAAGGUUGUCCAUCUGGUUGAGUGGCCACGCUUCUCUCUGGCAGCAUUUCGCAUACUCUCCAUCUCUCCCACGUGAUCCUUGAAUUCCUUUUUCACCACAUCCAACACCACAUCUCCAUACCGAUCACACCAUGACCUUGAUGAUCAUCACAAAACAAGGGAAGAUUAGUGAACACUUAUUUUAGCUGCUUAUUUUCACUGUAAUUGAAGUUCUUUUAACCCACUUCAAUGUGCAAACAUUGGCUCUAAGUGAAGGAACCAUCUACACCAGAAGAAAGAAAAUGGUUGCCUUACUUGGGAAAGAACUUUUUCAGGUCUGCUUUGUCAACAGGAAGCUUGGUGGAAAUUGCUUCAAUCUGAUCAUUCCUGAGAAAUCAAAUGACAAAAGAUAGAAAGGAACAUUGAGUAGCCAUCGUAUAAACACUAAAUAAAUAGAAAUUGAGUCAUGGUUCCGUGAGAAAUCCUUACGAAAAUUGAAGAUUGUGGUUUGUGGUAUUGAGUUCCGUCUGAAUUAGCGACAGCUCCUUCUUUAUUUUCUCCCCCAACACCUACAAACGUGAGAAAAUUAUCAGGCUUGAGAAGAUAACAGUCCUAAUUUACUUGGAACAAAAUGAAUACAAGUCUUAAGAGUUCAAACCUUAUCGAUGAAAAAAUCUGAGGAGGAACCAUUAGAAUGUAUCUUCCUCUUUAUUUGUUUUGUAUCAGGGCCCUCCCCAAUGGGGCUAGCUACAAGCUGACAAGGUCCCAAAUAAGAUUCAAUAUCUGAUCUCUCGCUAAGGGGCAAUGGAGUUGUCUCGUCUUCCCAGUUGUUUCUCUUCCACUUCUUCAACCCCUCAAACCCCCAUUGCUUCUUCCCCGAUUUUGAAACUUUUUCCUCAGAUUCAGGCACAUUUUCACUGCCUUCCUUCUGAAACAGAGUCCGAAAUACUUUCUUCUUUGCCUUGUCGGCACCGCUCUUUUCAACCUUCACUGUCUCCACUGGUAUGCUUUCUGGCAUAAGUAUGGAUCGAGUUUCACUUUCUUUCUCCUUCAAAUGGAUGUUCCAAAAAGGGUUUUCUCUAGACAACCCCAACUCAUUAUGCCCAGAAUGUUCCGACACUGGACCGAUGAUGCUCUUUUCUUCCCUGUUCUUUACAUUCUUAUGAGGCGUUGUAAAGCUCAAAACUGAGGCCACGCCUUUAAUCUGCUUUAUAGCUGAACCGUGUUUCGAUUUGCUCUUUGAAUUUGAACUUUCUUUGCUAAGCAAGCACUGUUCAUCCCUCAGGUCAAUGACUGACCACUCCUCUUCUGAAUUUUCCUUCUGAUUCGCAACAAUUACGUCUCUGGCCUCGAUCUCAGCCCCUUGAACUGCAAGCCUCUGUAACAAAGGCCUCUUCGAAGAAUGAUACUCAUCCGCCGUAAUGCAUUUUGCGUAAAACAGCUCCUACAACAAAGAACAAAGGAAAGCACUCAAUUAAGGAUUUUAAAAAUAUUUUCCAUCGAAACAAACAGACCCAAAAUCUCAAAACCCAAAAAGCAAAAACUACCUGCAAAAAUAGCAGCUUAUCCCUCAAGAUCACAGGUUGCUCUUGAUCGGCUGGAGAAGCGAUAAGGGUCUCGAGUAAAUGAGAUCGAAAAGAUGAAACCUCGUGUUCUGCUAAGAUUCCUUCUUUACAAAGGCCCAUCAAUUUGAGUAUUUGAUGGAAGGAAUCUUGCUGCCAUUUCAGAUUAUCCGACUGCAGCUUCGAUAGCUUCUGCUCGGCCGCUGGCAGCCGCCGCUUCUUGAAGGAGAAGGGAAGGAUGGUCUUGCAGAGAGAGGUGAUCGAGUCAUGAAGAGUGGAGUAGUAUGUGGGUGUGUAUGAGUACAUUUUUGAACCUUUGUUUUCUGGUUGCGGACCGAUGAAGGGACUGAUCAAUGAUUGUAGAUGCUGGUUGUGAUUUGCCAGAGCUAUUCAAUUGGGUUCUGUAAAUUUCGAUUUUUAUUUUGAUUUUCCUUUCCUCUUGAUGAAGUCGAUUUGUGUACGUUUAUUGUGUGAAGAUACUGUUCAAAAAUUUGAAAUUUCGGGUGCUCUGAACGGUCACUUGAAACUAGCCGUUGUGGACUAGGAUGAAAAUGGGAAAUGUCACCGUCGUCAAUUAUUUCUGGAUAAAACGACGCCGUUUUCACAUGUUCGCUUGCUUAUUUUAUUUUCAAAAUUUGCUUAACCCAAUAUAUGUUUUUAUUAUUGUAUUUGCACUUCAUAUCUCUCCUUUUAAGAAAUCUAAUAAUUUUACCUGGCAAAAUUUUCUCCCUCAUACUUCACCUACUUUUUAACUUUUAAAAAUGGUUUGAAAAUGUAUUUUGAAAAUUCCACAAUGUUUAAAUUUGUGCGGACAAAAUAUUUUUAAAUUAUGAUUUUAUAUUAAGGGUUAUUUUCAUUCAAAAUAUCAUAAAUAUUAAAUAGGAAUUUUGGAGAAAAAAAAAUGGUUAGAUAGAAAUUAAGGAAAAUUCAUAAAAUUAUUAGACAAAAUUCUAAAAAAAAUGAUAUGAUAAGUAAUAAUAAAAAUAUUGAAGUUGUUGUUGCUUUUUUAAAAAAAUAAUAAUAAUACAUGUGUGAUAGUACAAUAAUAUGUCAUAAUUAAGAAAAAAUUUAAAAUGAUGAUGUUUGUAGUUUUUAUGUAUUAAAGUAUAUAGAAAAAAUAUGAUCAUUUUUUUGUUUACAAAUGCUUACAAUUUUGUUUACUAAUUUAUGUUUUUCAUGUGUUACUUAAUAAAAGAUAUUAAAAAAUUAAUUAAGAAAAUUAUUUUUAAUGAAAUUUGAGAAUAAGAUAUUUAAAUUUUAUUUAUUUAUUAAAAUUUUAUUCUUAAUAUUUCAUUUGAUAGGGAAGUUUUUAAGGAUAUAAAUUAAGAUUCAUAUGUUUAGUGUGCACAAAAGUAUAUAGAUGAAUAAGUGGUUUAUUUGGUGAAGCACAAGGUUGGAGCUCCCUCAUGCACUCCUUAUUUCAAUCUUAAUUUAAAAUUUUUCCACAUUCAAGAGAUUUGUGUCUUCAUUAAUCUUUUGGAUACUCUCAUCACUUAACCUAACUCCAAUAUAACAUAAUGCCUCCAUCAUGAUAAACUCUUACAAUAUGAUAAGAUUGAAAGACAAAAUGGGUAACGCCUCUUAUUCGAUCAUAAACUCUUCCAAUAUGAUAAUAUCUAAAUCCAAAAUAGGAUAAGCAAUCACACAUCUUACAAAGGAAAGGAGGUAGAUGAUUUAUAGGUUCCCACCUCAUUUUACUUUAAUUUUUUUUAGAGUAAUACUAAGUUUGACAAAUUAGAUAUCCCUCAUUGACAAUCCCAUGGGCAGUCAUUUGUAUGCAGGUUGUAGUUGUGCCCUCUAUUCAAACAACUUUCUUGUUGUAGAGUGGAUGAGGAUAUGCAUGAUUAGAAUGAUCAACCAAACAUCAAUCAACCAUUUCAAAAAAGUGUAAGAUUGUUGGUUUUGAAAAAUAGCUCAAUUAUAGUCAUUGAUCUUAUUGUAUUUAUAAAAACAUUGAAUUCUAAUCUUUUAAAGAUUUUUAGAUUUUGCCAAGUAGUUUUUAAUUUCAAAAGAACUUCUAGCCUUUGAAUCUCGUAUAAAAAGUACGAUGAGCAAGAGGAGAUUUACUACUAAAGGAUAUAAAGCUAAGGAAUAUUUGGACCUAAUGCCUAUGGAUAUGUGUGGACCUUUUAAUGUUCAUAUACAAAGAUGAUAUGAGUAUUUUACCACUUUUAUUGAUGAAUGCUCUAAGUUUUGAUAUGUGUAUCUAGUAUAUAAGAACUUGAUGUCUUAGAUAAAUUCAUUGAAUUUAAGGUAAAAUUGGAUGACCUAUUAGGUAAACAUAUGAAGGCCCUUUGAUUAGAUCGAAGUGGUGAUUUUUGUGUUUAGUAGGUUCAAUACUUUCCUUAGGAAUGAUGGGAUUAUAUUCCAAUUGUGUGUACAAAGGACUCCAUUGCAAAAUGAAGUAAUGGAAAAAAGAAAUCAAACUUUAAUAGACAUAAUGAUAUUGAUGAUUAGUUUCUCAUCACUUCCCACAUCCUUUUAGGGAUAUAUCUUGGAGACCGUCUUACCUCUUUAACCUAAGAGGUAUAUUAAUUUGUAGGAUAUCCAAAAAGAUCUCAUGGGAUUAUCACCUUUAUAGUUAGAAUUGUCAAAAAGUGUUUGUUGUUACGAAUACUAGAUUUUUUAUGAAGACUAUGAUAAGGAAUAAGGUAAAGAGUGAUACAAACUAGGGAAUGUUAGAAGAUAGUGCCUCAUUUUCACAAUAUACUUUAGAUCCAGGGGAAUAGAGACAUAUCAUUCUUGAUACUUUUAACACACAAGUACUUCAUGAUAGUGGGAGGAUUACAUCCCGUGAAUUAUGAUAAGUUAUGGUAAAGAGUUAUGAAGUAAGAGUUAAAAUUUUUAAGUUAUAGCAUAAUUUGGGAACUUGUAGAAGAACAUGAAGGGAUAAAAGUCAUAGGUAUAAAGGUUGAGACUUAAGUGGCUAAGGUUAUAGUUCGAAACAGUGUUUUGACUAUGGAAAAACCUUUUCAUUAGUAGUCACUCUCAAAUUCAUCAAAGUACUCUUAUCCAUUGAAACAUAUCUCAAUUAUGAGAUAUGACAAUUGAAUAUCAAGAUAACAUUAUUAAACAAUUAUCUUAAUAGUAGCAUCUAUAUGAUGCAAUCAAACAUUUUCAUAACAAAGAACCAAGAGCAUCUAGUAUGCAAGUUGCAUAAAUUCAUUCAUGGAUUAGUGCAAACAUUUUGCUUAUGGAACAAGUGUUUUAAUUAGGAGAUCAAGACCUUUAUGUAGACCCUAGAAUUUAUCUGAAUCUUUCUUUUCAAUCAUUUUUAUUUUAUUUUUUAUUUAUUUAUUUUCAUUUUUAAUUUUUAUUUUAUUUUUCUUUAUAUUACUUAUUUUAUUUUAUUUUUGGGUCCUUUCCUUUUAUCUUUAUUUUUAGAUCCAUUUCUUUUUGACUUUAGCCUAAGUUUCAGGCUCAAUACUUACCCAUUUUAAUUAGAUCAAAUCUUGGCCCUUGCAAUUCCUACCAUUCAUUCAAAGAGAAGCCCUAAAGACCAAUCUUCCUAUUUUUCCCACAUUUGUCGUCCCAUCUUCCUUUUUCCUUUCUUCCUUUUUUUUUUUUUUUUCUUUCUUUCUUGCACAUUUCUUUUUUCUCUCAUUCAAAACUAGUUGUCCAUUUCCGAUUUCUUCUUCUCAUUCUCUCUCUCUCUCUCUCUCUCCCUACAUUUCUUUCUCUCUCUUCUAUUCCUUCUCAUACCUAUUGAUACCCAAAACAACCACUUCGCAACCACUGAUCUAGUAAUCGUGGCUACCUUCCACCUCAUUUUUGUCACAUUCACACUCGCAGUGCACCCAUUGGUGGCCACACACCAUCAUUCAUGGUCAUCCCUUCUUCACACUAGAUUCAUUGUCAUGGAUGUCUCACAUUUCCUCUCACAUCCACUACGUAGUUUACCUUGCCACCCAUUUUGCUUCACCCUAAGGCUUUAAAAAUGAGAUAAGUCUUUAUUUAUUUAUUUUUUAUCUUAUCUCCACAAUAUUUCUUUUCGUUUCGAGUUUGGUUUUUUGAGAUCUAAAUAUUGAUUUUGGGACGUUCCUUUUGUUGAGACAUUGGUAUGAAUUUAGGUUGUAUUUCAAAUUGACUUGGAUUUGGAUUUGGUUUUGGGUUUGCUUGUAUUUGGGUCAGUAUCCUCACACUAUGUUGAAAAUGAGAAAAUACAUAACAUGUUGGAAGCAGGUGGAGUGGUUGAAGACAAGGUAUAUGCAUGAGUAGAUUUUAAGGGGAACUUGAUUUGUAUUAAAGGGAGAAGAUGGAAGCAGAAAAAUGGAAUAGGAGAACAUUGACAAGUGUGUGACACCUAGACAAGUGUGCUCUCGACCUAAUGGCUUCAAGUGCAACUUGUGUUCAAAGAUUCGUUGAUUCACAAGAUUCUGAAAUUCACACUAAGUAUCACAUUUUGCUACUUUCUUUAUCGAUGUGAGAGCCUAGAUAUUCGUUGUCGAGAGUUGUUUAUGUGAAUGAAACAACGACACCAAGGAUUAAGGCAACAGGAGGGUGUUGGUUCAUUUGUACGGUUCUUUGGCAUAUUUCGCGCUAGGGUUCGUUGUUUGCUCUAAAGAGUUGUCCAAGUCGUUCCCUGCCCAUGCGCGAGGCAUGAUGAUGGGUGAGGCUCCCAAUCGAGGGAAAAUGAGUGGUAGGCUCGUACCCACCCCACUUAGUCCCCAAGAGUGUUGCAACGUGUCCAUGGGUCAUUUUGUUAUGUAGAGAUUUGAUAAUGAUCCUUUACAGGUUCACCUAUAGAAACCUUGUUAUGACUUCUCCUUCCUCUAAAUGAUAAGGUUCAAUGGAUUUUUCACGAUAGUGCGGACAAUAGACUGCCCACGUUGUUGUGAUCCAAAGACUUCACCGGACCAUUUAAUCAAUAGGAAUGAUGGGCGGUGUGUACAAAAGGUAAGAACGUAGUCAACAUAAACUAAUGGCUCAUGUUUACUAGAAAUUCCUUGUUGAAGACCAACAAUUGCAAAGAUUAUGUGGGCUUGUCAACCAAGGCUAUAGACUCGUUGAAUACAUCAAUGUAACACACAUGCGGUCCAAAACAUCUAAGAGCAUCAUAGACCUGUUGUUGCCUCAAAUUUCCUUAUCCUAAAUUGUCAUAGUCCCUCUAAGAAGCUAGCUACGGAGGAUCACUUGUUUUGUGCAUCCAUAUAACGUAGAGCUUCCUUCAAUCCAAACAAUUAUGUGAAACUAUGAGCUUCCUUCAAUCCAAACAAUUAUGUAAGACUAUCCAAUCACAUCUUAUAAAAUUAAACUCUAGGAUCAUAUGAUAUUAUUUUAUUCAUAAAAAAUUAUUUAAAGUGAUAGGUUUUAGAAUCCAUUUGGUAGUGUUUCUCGUCAAAAUGGUUUACUGACAAUGUUUUUUUCUAUAGCUUAUUUAUGAAAAACACUUAUAUAAGAAUCAAAAAAAGAGAUUCUAAUAGUGUUUUUCACAAUGUGUCGUAUGAGUAUAAAAACAUUUUUAAUAUUAAUAAACUACCAAAAAAGAUAUAUGCUUUAAUUACAAAAAAGAAAUAUUAUAAUAAAACAAGAACUUUUCAUUACAAAAGAAUAUAUAAACAUUUAUAUGAAAAAGAAUAUAUAAAUAUUUAUAUUGUUAAAAAAGCUAAAAAAUAAUCAUUUGUAUGAUUACAAGAAAAUUUUUAAAAAUAUUUACAAAAAAAAUGUUUAAUUAAUAAAUAAACAUCGAUCAUGAUAUAAAAAAUUUUCAAAAUAAAAUAAUUGAUUUUAUUUGUUUGUAUCUUCAUCCUGUGUAUUUAUACCAUCAUUCAAUGACCAAAAUUUUAGAUAAACUCUAAAUAACUUCGAUUGUAUCUAACUUGGACGUUUCCAUGUGUCCAUUGUCUCAUUGCCUUAGUUAAUGGGCUAGACUCAUAUACUACCAACUUUGCUUUCAUUGUGUCAAAAUUUUCAUUCAAACCUUGCGCCAAUAUUAAGAGGAAAAGGGGUGUUUUAGGCGUGCAUUCUUACAUGGAUUCUUGCACAAAAUAGAGAAAGUUGAUUAGGACAGGAUUACAUUUUAUAUCAAAUUACUCAAUUUGAUAUCUUGUGCGCAUCCCAUGACCACUGACGGGUGGAUAUCAUAUUAGAAUCGGAAGUUUCGUGCUAAGCAAGAUCAAUUAAAGGACCAAUGUAGCUAAUGACUCAUAUUAGUGGGGAAAAUGACACACCCACUUUGUCCAUAUUGCGACAUUAGUAAAGCUAGGCUUCUACUCUCUCCUCUCCUAAAAAUGGAGUGCAUUAAAUAAACCCAAAAGAUGCACAAUCAUCAGCCUUCUGUGUGAUUCAAAAAGCAGAAUCGAUGAUCUUUGGUCCGACAAGAGAUGAUGGACACAUUUUUGAAUGAUUAAACCAUAGGACACCCCAUGGUUUCUCAUACCCUAUCCUUUUUAUUGUUGGUCCCACUCAUAGACGAGCGAUGCAUUAUUUGUACUCAAUUUCCGUGGUGGGCACAUGAAAUGGACGGAAAGUGAUCUCUGGUGCCUCUACCAUCACUUGCUUCUACUAUGGAACAAGUGGGUAAUCAUCCAGUAGAAUCAAUUCAUCUCUACUACACAACAUUUCAGAUAGAAAUUGAGGACACAUGUUAGAUUGAUCCUCCAUCACCACCCACCAAAGCAAGUUGGUAGGUCCUUCAUCCAAGGUGACUUUCCAAUGGAUUAGGUCUUGGCUACAAUUUUGUUACUGUUGUUAGGUCACGGCAAAGUGCUUGAGAUUUGAUGAAUAGGAAAAAUAUGCUCCUAUACCCUAGGUUGUCCAUCUAGAAUUUAGCAUCAACUUAAAAAGUAAGUCUAAGACGCGGGAUUUGGUGCGAUUUGAAUGACAUAAAAGGGAUUUACGUAGUCGCACUUAAAAUCAAUUGAUUUUUAGAUGAGAUGACUAAACCUUUAGGUGGUGAUGCAAUAAAUUACAUCUGCACCUAUUUUCUGAUUCAACAUAAUUAACUUUGUUGAUGUUCUAUUUCUGAUAAUUCCGCCUGGGCUAUCAUUAUCUUGGAUUCCCUCAGAAGCGUUGGUUGAUGCAUGCAGACAACAAACGUUGGUUACCUCAUUAACAUCUAGAGACUUAGUUGGUGAAUGGUCUAAUCAAGGCAGUGAUCUGUUGAAAAUUCUUGUGAUUUAACAGUGUCAAUUCUUAAUAUUUUCUUCCAUGAGUACAUCAUCUUUCAGACUAACCACAAUUGCGGAAAGUAGUUCCUUUGGCAAGAAGACUUCUUAGUUUUCAUU
rnacentral:lncRNA from 1 species